rnacentral:lncRNA from 1 species
UCCUCAAGAACCCAGACUGAUAGGCUUACAGAAUCAGCACUAGCUGCAAAAUAUAGCUGCCCUUGUGACAGAAAAAUAUCAUCGGUAGAAGCAUCAUUCAAGACUGUUAUAGGAGAAUCGAUGAUUCACGAAAUAUCUCCUUCAACAUCAAGCUUACUACCAUAUCAUCAAAGGCAGCCAAAUGCAGGAUCCCAUUAACAAAUAGGCUUUUUCAACGCCUUGAUACGCUCACUACUGGAAACAGGGAAUUUGCCAUCAGCCAGCUCUUUGCCAUCUGCCAGCUGAUGGCAAAGAACGUCUUUGCCAUCUGCUUAUAAAAAACAGAUGGCAAAGAACUGACAGACAGCAAAGAACAUGGUUGUCAUCAGCCAAUUCUUUGCCAUCUGCUAGUGGAUGGCAAAUAAUCUUUGCCAUCUGCCAGCAGAUGGCAAAGAGGUUGGCAAAUCCUGUGGCCGUCAAACGUCUAAUGGUGUACCAGCCCCACCUCUUUGCCAUCUGUCAGUAGACGGCAAAGAUUCUUUGCCAUCUGCUGGCAGAUGGCAAAGAGAUGGGGUUAUUUUUUCCAAGUAAAAAAACUGUGGGGUUAUCCCCUCCCUCUCUCCCCACCCAUCCAGGUAAAAAAACAACCGCCGCGUCGCUCCCCCGCCCUGUCGCCGGCCGCGUCACUCCCCUGCCCCGUCGCCGUCGCUCCCCCGCCUCGUCGCCGNNNNNNNNNNNNNNNNNNNNNNNNNNNNNNNNNNNNNNNNNNNNNNNNNNNNNNNNNNNNNNNNNNNNNNNNNNNNNNNNNNNNNNNNNNNNNNNNNNNNNNNNNNNNNNNNNNNNNNNNNNNNNNNNNNNNNNNNNNNNNNNNNNNNNNNNNNNNNNNNNNNNNNNNNNNNNNNNNNNNNNNNNNNNNNNNNNNNNNNNNNNNNNNNNNNNNNNNNNNNNNNNNNNNNNNNNNNNNNNNNNNNNNNNNNNNNNNNNNNNNNNNNNNNNNNNNNNNNNNNNNNNNNNNNNNNNNNNNNNNNNNNNNNNNNNNNNNNNNNNNNNNNNNNNNNNNNNNNNNNNNNNNGCCGCGUCGCUCCCCCGCCCCGUCGCCGUCGCUCCCCCGCCCCGUCACCGGCCCUCCCCCGGCCUAAGUGUGGGUCAGGCCGGCCGCCGUCGGCGCCAAGCCCCCGAGAGAUGCCACGACCUCCACCGAGCAGGAGCAACGAGAGCAGGAGUAGCAGCUCGCCUCCUCGUGGCGCGGCGCCGUCGCUCCCCCGCCCCGUCACCGUCAGUGUCCUCGACGGAUGUGCAAGAUCCCGCGGCGCUGCGUGUGGGGAUCAUCGGGUUCGGCAACUUCGGGCAGUUCAUCGCCAGGGGCAUCCAGCGGCAGGGCCACGCCGUGCUGGCCACCUCCAGAUCCGACUACUCCGACUACUGCUCCGCCCACGGGAUUCGCUUCUUCAGGUGACCAGCCAUGCCAACCCACGAACCUAUCUUUCUUCUAUUCCGGUCGGGAUGCAACUGCAAGGGGAUCGAUUGAUCAUGCUGUGAAAUGCUGACAGCAACAGAAGCUUGGAGGCGCUGUGCGAGGAGCAGCCGGACGUGCUGCUGGUUUGCAGCUCCAUCCUCUCCACGGAGUCCGUCGUCUGCGCCAUCCCCCUCGCCAAGCUCCGCCCUGACACCAUCGUCGCCGACGUGCUCUCCGUCAAGCAGUUCCCCCGCAACCUCCUCCUCGAGGUACUUACAUCAGCUACAAAUCUUCAACCCAAACUGUACUUACCAUUGUUGAUCACACCAGUACCAAUACCACUAUUUUCGUAUGAAAAGUUGGUUUAAGUGGCUGCUUAGUACUCCCAUCUUUGGUCUCUGUCAUCCGCUAUCUUUACAUUUUUAAGGCUCCACUACAGAAUAGGAACAUAUAAGUUGUAAUGCAUCAGCUAUGGACCAUGAUGAGAUCAUGAUAUCGUGUGCUAGUUGGGUCCAUAUGAUUAUUAUUACUUCCAAUAGUGUUUACUUUCUCUAUAGAUAUUUAAACCAAUCUGAGAGAUCCUAACAAAUUUUAGCAUGCCAGCCAGGCUAAAAUGAAUUACUGAAAGUUUAUUGGAGUUUGCGAGUAAACCAUAUUAUAUGCUUUGACUUACAAAAGUUGAAAGUAAGCUCUAAAUAUUAUAUGCUUUAGUUGAUGGUAAAAUACUUGAUACCUUCAUUGACACAAAAAAUUGAUCAUUACAUUUAUGAUAAAUAUGUUACUGUUUUCACUAACAAUCGGCUAAAUAUCUUUUAUCAAAAUUAUAUAUACUCAGUUCCCAUCUGGUUGGUACAUAUCCGGCAAAUUUGUGCCUCACUUCUACUUUGUGCCCAUAUAAUCACAAUGGGGGCCGUGGCUGAUUUAUCUAGCAUUACAGACUAAAUGGCAAUUUAUCUCGAGCAGUUUUCUACCAUCCACGUCCUCCUUAUGCCCAUAUAAUCACAAUGGAGUCAUGGCUGAUUCUGUAUCCGGCAUUAGAGACUAACUUGCAAUUUAUCUCAAACAUUUUUCUAACACCCAUGUCCUCUUUAUGCCCAUAUAAUCACAAUGGGGUCGUGGCUGAUUUUGUAUCCCACAUUACAUACUAACUUGCAAUUUAUCUCAAACAUUUUUCUACACUCGUGUCCUCUUUAUGGUAUCAAUGUGAAAUACGAAUUAUAUUUAGGUUUACACAAACUGUAAUAUAUUCUUUGAUUACAUAAAUCACAACUAAUCUUUAGCUGGUUGGUCUACUCUAUUUAUUUACUUCAGCCUAUGGAUUAGCCUACUAUAUUUUAUUGUACAAUCAUAGAUCCUAUAUUAUUAUGUUUGCGGGGAAUAAUAAAUCAAAUAUGAUGUUAAAUGGUGCCCAUACAGAAGAGUGUAGAUCAAUUAGUUGAACAUUGGUCACUGGUCUUAAUUCAGUAGGGUGUGCCUGAGUUUCUUCUUGCUUUCAUAUGCAUGACAUAGGAAUACAUAUGCUGGCCAUCUACUGUAAACAUACCAUAGAAAUACAGAAAUAUGUAGGCUGCAGCAGGUUCCCUUGUGUCUGUUGGUCGAUGACUACGUUUUGUUAAAAUGCUGCAACAUGCAGUCUCAUCAGUAAUCGUCGGAUGGAUCUCACCUGACCUGACAGCAAAAGCUGUUUCUUAUAUUAUUGGUGCACAUCUCGAUGUAUUGUUGCUACAUUUGCCAAAACAGAAGCAUAUGAAAGCUAGCUACAGGCAUGCUCUUGUUAGGAUUUUAGAUGGUGCAGAGCAGGCGUAGCAACCAAUAAUGAAAUCUGUCUAAUGCCAAGCAGAGUAGCGUAACAGCCAAAAAGAAAAUCCUUCUAAUGCCUAGUAUAUAGGAAUCAGGGUGAUUGGCGUUGAGUCUGCUACCAAAUCCAAUGCCAUGAUAUUUAUUUUUGAGUAACUUGAUUAUGAGAGGGAAAAGCACAACCUUGGGCAUUAGGCAUAUCAUUAUACUCAUGAACAAAGUAACAAACUAAUUGGUACGGUAAAAUAUGUCGGUUGCCAAACUGAAUCAAGAAGGCCACAACAUAUAAAAAUUGUAAACUAUGGCAAGCAGUCUGUAAUAUCUGCUUAUUUGGAUGAACAAACCGGUGUGUCCACGACACACAGACACGACACCCCCGACACCCGACACCUCUUCGGCCUCCUGUUGACCGAAAAGGUGCUCUUCGGCCUUCCAGAGGCUGACGGGGUCAUAUAUUUGUGAAUUAUGAGUUAGGUCAUAUAUUUUCCAAUUUUGUUAUGAAAAACAUCAUAUAUAUUUGCGUUGAUCGGGUGGAUUUAAAUGUGCAGUUGUUUCAUCGCUGUGAGGGUCUGGUGUUCAACGACCUCCCCGUGCGUUCGACGAGCUCCGCCCCUGCGUUCGUCGGUGAGCACAAAUGACAUCUCCUCCUCUCCCCCUUCAUUUGCUCUGUUCCGGUCUUCGUGCCGAUGAAACUUGCUAGCUAUAGGUGUAUUCAAUCAUCAGUAUGCGUGACCACUAUGCGUCUCCCGUUCGAAAGGGUUACAUCUAUAAAUAUGCAUUCAUUUGCAUAUUUAUAACCAUAAUUCUUUCGAAUUGUCCAACGUUAUCCAUGGACAGCCCGAGUAUGUGUAGAUUGGGUUCGUUUUCCCAUAUGCUCUGCUCCAGAUCCGAUGCAGAAUUUCGUCAGUGCCUCUCUGUUGUUCUCCGGGUACACAUCCUAUCUGCUUAUUGCCGAGACGUGUAUCAGGAGAACAGCGGGGAGGUGCUGCCGAAAUUUUGUGUCGGAUCCGGAGCAAAGCAUGGAAAAACGAACCCAAUCUACACAUACUCGGGUGGGAUUAGGACCUAUCUUUACCUAUUAGCGUCUAGGUUGCAUGGACGUAAUAAAACCGAGAAACUCUAUUAACUGAUGAAUAUGGUUUGCUGAAUUAUGUAUGUAUUUCUUGUGUGUCCAGUAACUAGACAAGAUGAGUGAUCGUGCGUGGAUGUACACCGGUCACCCUAAUCAGAAAGACAUGACCCCUGAAUGGAUGACAAAACCCAAGGGGUUUAUCAGACACUAUUAGGAAAAGGCUAUAGAUGGAAAUGACACUAAUGGCGUACCAGACAUGUGGUGCGCCAUUACUAUAUACUAAUGACGCACCAUCUGUUGGUGCACCAUUAGUGUGGAAGACACUAAUGGCACACCAGGCACACGGUGCGCCACUAGUAACAAAAUGUUUUUUUUUCAUUUUUUCAAACAUACUAAUGGCGCAUCCGGACAGAGUGCGCCAUUGGUAGUUAGGACUACUAAUGGCGCACCAGCCACAGAGUGCGCCACUACUGUAUUUUUUAUUAUUAUUAUUUUGCAAAACUACUAAUGGCGAACUGUUGCAUAGUGCGCCAUUACUAGUUUAAACUAGUAAUGGCGCACUGUGCCACGGUGCGCCAUUAGUAUAAAAAUUAUUAUUAUUACUUUUUUGCAAAACUACUAAUGGCGCAUGUCUGUGUGAUGCGCUAUUAGUAUGUUGGGUUACUAAUGGCGCAUGUCUCUGUGGUGCGCCAUUAGUAACUUGGAACCAGCUAGAUAUUUUUGGACAGCCACAUCUACACACUCACUUUCCCCACUUCAUUCCCCCACCUCCUUCUCUAAGCUUGUCGGUUGCCUCCUCCUCCUCACCUCAUUUGCACCAUAGAUUCAUCAAAAUUAAGUGUUGAAAUUACCUUUUUUUGAUAGGUAAGUAAGGGGAAAGCUAUCUUCAUGUUGUAGAUCUACUUUUUUUCUCCCUAGCUCGCUCCAACAACGUGCACAUGCACUUUUUGUGGCCUAACUAGAUCUAUGUAUGUUUGUGGUGUUGCAUAUGUUUGUGGUGUUGCAUAUAUGUUUGUGUUUGCAGGUACCGGUAUUUGAAAUGCGAUAGUUGCCAAUAUUUUGUCGGAAUGUUGAUUCAUUUCCGUUUCGGCGAGAAUUUUGGCACUAUGCAUUCUUUUUUGUCCUAUUUUUAGGGAAAGUCAUGCCAAAUUUUUUCUUGGUUCUAAAAUAUCGUUUUGCUCUACCCCGCAGGUGACCAUGGUCCGCACGAUGACCGAAAGCAUCGUGAAUAGGUUUUUGAGCUCCGCGAAGGCCGAGAUGCUUCAAAAGAACGAGACGGAGAUAAGAUGUCCGUGUCGAAGAUGCAAGCUGAAGAGCCUUAUUGCGGACCCGGAUUCUGGGAGGUGCGGGACCACCUGCUCUUGCGUGGUUUCAUGGAUGGCUAUCGGUGGCAAGGUGAUGAAGAUGACUAUGAAGUCGUCCAUGGGGGCCGGGCAAGAAAUGAGGAAGGGCAGCAAGAAAACCACCGUGGCUCGGGUGGGCGAGAAGACGAAGAAUCUUCAGGACAUGAUCACGACGAUGAUGUUGUACACAGUCAUCAUGUAGAAGAUGCCAGACAUGAUGAUGAGGAAGAUGCCGGAGCAGACGAAGGGCAUGAUCAUCAAGAUCUAGAUGCCGGAGGAGCAGACGACGAUGGACCAUCGAUGGGCUGGGUGUAGGACCCUCAUAUUCAAGAGCUGCUUCUCAAGCAGGCAGAUAACGCAAGAGCUACCGCCCGAGAGAAAGCCAAGCUGGAUCAACUGGAGAUAGAUGCGGUUACUCCAUUGUAUGAAGGAUGCAGACCCGAGGAUACCUGCCUGAAAGUAACGCUCAUGGCUUUGGAGAUGAAGGUAAAACACAAAAUGACCGACGCAUGCUUCGACGAGAACAUGUCAUUCUGGCACGAACGUCUUCCCAAGGGGAACAAGUGCCUGACCAGUUUCGAGGAGGCGAAGAAAGUCGUGUGUCCUCUGGAUUUACCGCACAUGAAAUACCAUGUGUGCAUGAACAAUUGCAUCAUUUAUCGGGGCGAGCACGCGGAGUCUACCAUAUGUACGGUGUGCGGCGUCACUCGAUACAAGAAGAGGAAGAAAGCUCCUCGAAAAGUGGUGUGGUACUUUCCGAUCACUCCUCGUCUGCAGCGGUAUUUCGCGGACCCUAAGGUAGCAAAGCUCAUGCGUUGGCACGCGCAUAGGGAGGAGAAGAAGCGAGAAGAUGACGCAAAUGAUCCGGAGAUAAAUAAAAAAGACAAGAUGCUGAGUCACCCUAAGGAUGGGAGCCAGUGGCAAGCGUUGAACUUUGAACACCCAGAAUUUGGGAAGGAUCCAAGGAACAUCGUGCUGGGCGCGAGCACCGAUGGAGUCAAUCCGUUUGGCAGCCAGAGAAGCACAUAUAGCACCUGGCCUGUGUUUGUGUGGAUGUACAACCUUCCCCCCUGGUUGUGCAUGAAGAGGAAGUACAUUCACAUGAGUAUGCUAAUUGAAGGGCCGAAACAACCAGGGAACGACAUCAAUCUGUAUCUGGGGCUGCUGAAAGAGGAGCUAGACAUGCUGUGGAAAACGCCAGCCAAUACGUGGGACGCCGCAGAGAAAGAAUAUUUCCCUAUGAGAGCCGCACUGCUCACGACGGUGCACGACUAUCUCGGUUAGGGAUAUCUCACGGGGCAGGUGGUCCACGGAUUUUCUAUAUGCGUCAGGUGCAUGGAUGACACAACGUAUCGCCAGCUAGAUAGAGAUCCCGGGUCUUUGAAAACCGUGUUCAUGGGACAUCGAAGGUGGCUUCGCGACGAUGACCCGUGGAGGAAACGCAAGGAUCUGUUCGAUGGUAAAACCGAACUCCGAAGACGCCCGCGUACGAGGAGCGGCGAGGAAAUAGACGGGCUGUUGAAAAAUUGGUAAGAUUGCCCACUGCCGGGAAAGAAGUAAAAGGCGCCAGAGCCGGGAAAGAAGCGAAAGGCGCCAGAGCCGCUGCUGAAGGUAUGGAAAACGAGGUCUGUUUUCUGGGACUUGCCGUACUGGAAGAUCUACCAUGUGCCUCAUAGCCUUGAUGCCAUGCAUAUCAUGAAGAACGUGUGCGAGAGUCUGCUUGGUACCCUGCUCAACAUGCCAGAGAGGACCAAAGAUGGGCCGAGAGCAAGGGCAGACUUCAAAUCAAUGGGCAUCAGGAAGGAGCUUCACGCUAAUGAUGAUGAUGAUGAUGAUGAUGAUGAUGAUGAUGAUGAUGGUGAUGAGGCGAAGCAGGACACAGAAAGUCGUCGCAAAGGUAAAAAGGCCAAGAAGACCGGAAAUGACUACCCUCCCGCGUGCUUCACUCUAAGUCAGGAGGAGAUCGAGCAGUUUUUCACCUGCCUCGUAGGAGUAAAACUUCUUUACGGUUACGCGGGGAAGAUAAGCAGAUACCUAGACCCAGCGAAGCAGAAGUUCAGCGGGAUGAAGUCUCACGACUGUCACGUGCUGAUGACACAGAUACUUCCAGUUGCAAUCCGUGGGAUCAUGGACGCGCACGUCCGUGAAACGCUAUUUGGCCUAUGCAAAUUUUUCGACAUCAUCUCUCGGAAGUCGGUUGGCGUGAGGCAACUCAGAAGGCUACAGGAAGAGAUCGUGGUGAUACUAUGCGAGCUUGAGAUGUACUUCCCGCCCGCAUUCUUCGACGUUAUGGUGCAUCUGCUGGUCCAUAUCAUGGAGGAUAUCAUCCAACUCGGGCCGACGUUCCUGCACAGCAUGAUGCCAUUCGAAAGGAUGAAUGGUGUCAUCAAAGGAUACGUUCGCAACAUGUCACGUCCAGAGGGAAGUAUAGCCAGGGGCUUUCUGACCGAAGAGUGCAUCUCCUACUGCACGAAUUAUCUAGGCAUCGAGAACCCCGUUGGUCCGCCCGUCAACAGGCACCUCGGCAGGCUCGCUGGAUGGGGUCACCAUGAGGGUCGCCGCGAAAUGCAUGUCGACUUCGAGGGUCGACUCGCCGACUUUGAAAGAGCAAACCUAGUCGCGCUACAACACAUAGACGUGGUCGAUCCUUGGGUGGUAGAGCACAAAACCUUUAUUGAGAAGACAUACAAUGACCGAGGCCAACAGAGGACGGACGGAGAUAUAAUCAAAGAGCACAACUCAUGUUUCACGCGUUGGUUCAAGCAGAAGCUUCUGUCGUAUCCUUUACAUGAGGAUUCUUCCACGGAAGAACAACUCAUAUUCGCCUUGUCACAGGGCGCCGAGCACAACCAGAUGACCUAUGAGGCGUACGAUAUCAACGCCUACACAUUCUACACCGAGGACAAGGACAUGAAGAGCGAUGGUUAUCAGAACUCCGGGGUAACGAUGGAAUCCUACACCGAUAACGACAAGGACAGAUACUACGGAAGGAUCGAGGAGAUCUGGGAGCUGAGCUACGCUGGAGAGAAGGUCCCGAUGUUCCGUGUCAGAUGGGCCAAGAGCAUCCUAAAAGAAGACCAGUAUUUCACCACCAUGGUUAUACCCGAAGCCAAAUCCAAGACCGCGGGCGCAAACGUCACCGCAAAAAAUGAGCCAUGGGUACUGGCUUCCCAAGUGGACCAAUGCUUCUUCAUUACCGACCCGUCAAAGCCCAGUCGUGUUGUCGUGAGGAGAGGCAAAAGGAAGAUCAUCGGAAUGGAUGCAGUAGCCAAUGAGCAAGACUUCGACAAGUACGGCGACCCGAAGAUCGAACGUGACGACGACGAUGAAGUAGCAGCAUACACCACAAGAAGAAGCAGGACCACCCUACCUAAAGGACGUCAGUUCCACAAAAAAACUCCAUUUGCGAAAAAGAAGGGCAAGAAGAUUAUGAACAGAUAGCUAGCUAAGAUCGACUGUAUUUAAAUCGUAGUCUUCAUUUCUCGGUUGUAUUUCAUGGGCACUUUUUGAUAUCAUGAAUAUUUUUAAAUUUCAUGAGCACUUUUUGAAUUCAUGAAUAUUUUUUCAAAUUUGAUGAUAUUUUUUCAUAUUCAAUAUGAUAAAAUAUUGAAUAUUCAUGAGGACACUCGAUCUCGAUCCCCCUCCAUCUCGAUCUCGAUUCCCCCUCCAUCUCGAUCUCGAUCCCACCCGCGCCUCCUCUCCCCUCUUCAUUUUUAAAAAAAUAAUAAUAAAAAAGUGUAGACUACAAUUGUUGUUAAACAACAAUUAUUACUGUUUUUAUAAAAAAAUAUUACUGUUUCAUAUUCAUAUUCAUUUUCUAAAAAAAUUAUUACAUGCAACAAAAAAAAUUACUUAUGGCGCACCUCUGGCUGGUGCGCUAUUGCUAUAUAUAAAAAAAAGAUUACUAAUGGCGCACCUCUGCUUGGUGCGCCAUUGCUAUGUAAAAAAAAGAUUACUAAUGGCGCACCUCUGCCUGGUGCGCCAUUGCUAUGUAGAAAAAAAAGAUUACUAAUGGCGCACCGGCCGCAAGUGCGCCAUUAGUAAGAUUUCCCCCUAGCUAAUUCCCUCCCUCUCUCCAGAUCCCCUUCGUCCCUCUCCCUCGCCCCGCCCCUAGCUAAUUCCCCCUGCUGCCCCCGACCCACGUCGCCGCCGCCCCCGCGCCUCCGUCUCCGUCGCCGUCCCCACGCCGCCGCCGCCCCCGCGCCUCCGUCUCCGNNNNNNNNNNNNNNNNNNNNNNNNNNNNNNNNNNNNNNNNNNNNNNNNNNNNNNNNNNNNNNNNNNNNNNNNNNNNNNNNNNNNNNNNNNNNNNNNNNNNNNNNNNNNNNNNNNNNNNNNNNNNNNNNNNNNNNNNNNNNNNNNNNNNNNNNNNNNNNNNNNNNNNNNNNNNNNNNNNNNNNNNNNNNNNNNNNNNNNNNNNNNNNNNNNNNNNNNNNNNNNNNNNNNNNNNNNNNNNNNNNNNNNNNNNNNNNNNNNNNNNNNNNNNNNNNNNNNNNNNNNNNNNNNNNNNNNNNNNNNNNNNNNNNNNNNNNNNNNNNNNNNNNNNNNNNNNNGUCGCCUCCCCCGCGCCUCCUCAUCAUGGUCAGGUAACCAUCCUCCCUCUGCCUCUCUUCUCCUCUCUUCCUCCUCUCUUCUCCUCUCUUCCUCCUCCCUCUGCCUCUCUUCUCCUCUCUUCCUCCUCUCUUCUCCUCUCUUCCUCCUCCCUCUGCCUCUCUUCUCCUCUCUUCCACCUCUGCCUCUCUUCUCCUCUCUUCCUCCUCUCCUCUCAGGUAACCCGAACUUAAUUUUGUGAUGGUGCAUUAGGAGGAUCAGGAAGCAAGUUGCAGUGUUGCAAGUGGCAAGAAGAAGAGCAGCAAGCAUUAGAUGCUUGCACUCCUGCUCUUAUUUGCUUUUGAAGCAAAGUUUUUUUCCUAGCUGGAAUAACACAGUAAAAAAGAAGUGUCUGAACAAGCUGUUGCUUUUUGCUGUUAAUGUGCAGGUGUUCCUGGGCUGAGGGAGAGGAUAGAGGCACGAGGAGGAGAAGAGCACCUGGACCAGAGGUGAGAAUGAAUGAGCUGGUGUUUAAACCAUGGCUAACUUAAUUUGUGUUUGGGGUUGGAGCUGGGAAAGAGAGACAGAGGGAUAGGAGGGGGAGGGGAAAGAGAAAUGUUUAUUUUAGGGUUUAAUUAGACUCAAGAUUCAGGUGUUUAACCCUGUUGUGUUGCUUCUAGAAAUAAUAUAAAAGCUGUGAAAAAGAAAUCUGUGGAGUUGGCACUUUACAUAAGGUUGUAGAUCAUUGUAGUGUCCUAAUGUCUAAGACUGUUCCAUUGGAGGUUCAUCUUGCAAACAUAUCAGAACUUGCAAACAUUUUAUUACUUGUUGCAUUGGAGGUUCAUCUUGCCUUGAGGCAAACAGAUCAGCAUUGGAGGCUCAUCUUUGAGGCUCAUCUUUAUUACAUAUCAGAACUUGCAAACAAAUCUGUGAAAGACUUGUAAAGUUGCUGGGUUUUGUCUCCGACCAUUGUGUCGUGAUGAAUUUGCAGGUACCCAGAGAGGCCCUUGAGUUUGCCGGAAUGUCGAUUAACUUCCGUUCCGGCAAAUUCGGGUACUCCAUAUGUCCUAUUUUCAGCAAAGGUCAUGCUGAAAUUUUCCGUGAAUUUUAGCAUGACUUUGCUAAAAAUAGGACAUAUGGGGUACUUGCGACUAAUGCAUGGGCCGGGGUAUCUUAGUACUUAGUUAAGUAGGAUUAACUGCCCCACCAUUCUUGCUGCAUUAAACCAUAGGUGGCAAUAGAGCCAAGUGAUUAGGCCCUAAACCCUAGAUGAUAAACCCAACAUAGGUGGCAAUAGACCAAGUGAUUAGUGCCAAGUGAUUAGGCCCAACCUAGGGUGCCUCGGCAUCAAUAAACCCAAAAUGAUGAAAACUUAACUUGGCUUCUAUAGGGUGUCUCGGUGUCGAUGAGAACCUAAAUGAUGUACGCUUGGGCUUUUAGGGUGCCUCGGCGUCGACAAAACCUAAAUGAUGAAAGCUUAGGCUUUUAGGGUGCCUUGACAUCGACAAAUCCUAAAUGAUAAAACCUUGGCUUUUAGGGUGCCUCGGUGUCGAUAAGAACCUAAAUGAUGAAAGCUUAGGCUUUUAGGGUGCCUCAGCGUCGACAAACCCUAAAUGAUAAAAAACUUAGAUUUUAGGAUGCCUCGGUGUCGACAAACCCCAAAUGAUGUAGUUUUGAAUUAUGAAUGUAGGAUAUGUCGUCAUCAUCAUUGGACGACGAAAGGGACGACGAAAGUCUCCUGGCGGAGUGCGACUGGUGCCACGACGAUCGAGGUCUGUGCAACAUGCCUCACCUGGAUGAUGAUCGGCGCUUCAGCAUUAAGCUCGAGGAGACCUUCGAAGUUGAAACGGUACACAACGACGACAAGUGUUAUUUUCAUAAUUAAGCAUGACUUCAACUAUUUCAACGUGUAUUUUUCAUCUUUUACAAUUCAAGUAUAGCUUAUCCCAUGCCAUGCAAGACGCUAUGUCUUGGAGAGGAUGGACUUUGAAGACCAUGAAAUUUCUGAAACAAAGAAAAUUCUCCUAAGGACUCAUCACGAUGUGGACUUUGAAGUAAAUCUAUAUAAUUCUGAGAGCGUAACCCAUUUUGGUUGCAAAAAUUGGGAAGCAUUUUGCAAGAUGUAUGGUUUUGAUGAGGAUAUGCUUAUCACCAUGGAUCUUGGUAAUCCUGACAUCAACCAAGACAAUAUGGACAUUUGGGUCCUUGUUGAUACGCCUCCAGUUCUACCGCUAUGUGAGUUUCUCAGACAUAGUUAUUAACUAAUUUAUAUUGUUUAUUUCAAAAUAGUUGACAGCUUAUUUCCAUUGACAGCUUAUUUUUAUUGUUCAAAGAAUGUGCGGGAGAUGGUAGACAAAACCCACUACACCGAUGGCUCCGAAUUAACAACUUACAAGGAGAAAAAUCAUCUGGUCGGAUUUUGUACUAACAUUGAGAAUUACAUUAUCCAUAAACAAACUCCUCAACAUUAUGUUAAAUACGUGCCACUAGUGCAUGUGUUCAACUACGGUAACUACCAUGGAGAUACCCUGGUAAGAUUUUUACUAUUACGACAUCCAUGCAUCUUUUGCAUACUUCUAAAACUAGUACAUCAUUGCUAACUAUGAAAUUAUUACUAUGUUUUUAAACAGAUAAUCCCAGAGAAUUGUGUGCCUCAUAUGAUGUAUCAGAAAGGUAGUGUUAAUAUUUUGAACAUACAGCCAGGUCGUCCUACGAAUCUCAACUGUCCAUACGAGAUUUCUAAAAGAAGUGGAGAUAUGAAAAUCAAAGGAUGGAAAAAAUGUAUGGACAGUCGUAAGGAGCUUCUUGGAAGCAAAAAGAAGCGAAGCGCAAGAAUUGGAGACAAGAUGUUCUCCAUUCUCCAUAAUGGAGAGUCAGGGUCUAUAUUGUUUUAUGCUAUUUUAGCGUAAAUAGGGUAUUUAGGUCCUGCCUAAUAUUGAUGAUCAUGUGCUAAGAACAAUUAAGUAGGGUUGGUUCGAUGACUAUCAAGAUGAUGAUCGUAUGACUUGUUAUGAAUAACGAGUAGAAGUUGUAUGAUGAUGAUUAGUAGGACUUGUUAGGAUUAGUAUUACUUCCGACAAACUCGAUACUCGCGGUCUCGAUACUUGUAAUGUUUUAUCUUUGUCGGUCUUUUGAAUUCGGAGACUAAUAUGAUGAAUUGUAUUCGGAAACUAAUCUUCUAUUGUAUUCGAUGAAUCUGCUGUUGCUGUGUGCUAUUGUCUAUAUUCUGUCAAAUAAUAUAUUUUGCAACCUGUGCAAAAAUUAGAAAAGUAAAAAAACAUAAUAUUCAUACUAAUGGCGCAUCACUAAAGAGUGCGCCAUUAGUAUGCCAAGUAUACUAAUGGCACAUCCAUCCGUAGUGCGCCAUUAGUGUGCCAAAGCACAUGGUUAAAUAUGGCCCUGGGAGGCAUACUAAUGGCGCAUGGUGUUAUAUACUAAUGGCGCACUGGGUGGUGCGCCAUUAGUAUACCAGAUACUAAUGGCGCACCAGUGGUGCACCAUUAGUAAAAAAAUACUAGUGGCGUGAUACUAAUGGCGCACCAGUGAUGCGCCAUUAGUAGGCAAAACUGGUGCGCCAUUAGUAGGCCUUUUCCUAGUAGUGAGAGCCGCAUUUGCAAAUGGAUAGGAAACAACAUGGUGCCCCUGUGUCGAGUGCGACAACUAUCGUAAGAUGUCAGAGUUUGAAAUGAUCAAACACCUGCAGAAGUGGGGUUUUACGCCCGGUUAUACGAUGUGGACAUUUCAUGGUGAGUCUGUCCAACGUUCCAGAGCCGAGGAGGGCCGUCGUCGCACCGACGAGCAUGGUACCGGGAUGGAAGACAUGGUGCAAGACUUUGAUGAUGCUCGGGAUUCGGACAAUGAGAUGGAGGAAUCUGCAAAGGCCUUCAAUGAUAUGUUGGAGUCUUUGAAGCGUCCUCUCCACGAGCACACCGAGCUUUGUCAGCUGGAUGCCAUCGCACAAGUAAUGGCUCUGAAGGCUCAAUUCAACUUGGGCAGAGAAUGUUAUGACGCGAUGGUGACACUAUUUGGACGCUUUCUACCCAAAGGCCAUAUAAUGCCUGCAAACCUGUACCAGUCGGACAAAAUCCUUCGUGUACUUAAGAUGCCCUAUGAGAAGAUAGAUGCCUGUGAGAAUGGAUGUGCCUUAUUUAGGCUCCAGUAUGCGGACUUGAACUAUUGUCCCAUUUGCAAGUCUUCCAGGUAUGUUGAGGUAGACAACGGUAUGGGUGAGAAGAGUCAGACCAAAAUCCCCAUUAACGUUCUUUGGUAUAUGCCAAUCAUACCAAGACUUCAACGUCUAUUCAUGGUCGAAGAGAUGGCCAGACAGAUGACAUGGCACAAAUUGGGCAAAAGAACCGAACGGGAUGCAGAUGGGAAUCUGGUGAUGGUACACACAUCGGAUGGUGCUUCAUGGAAACACUUUGAUGCAUUGCAUGAUGAAAAAGCGGCAGAUCCAAGGAAUCCUCGAGUAGCCAUCAGCAUGGAUGGGUUCAAUGUGUUUGGUAUGAUGGCAGCCCAAUACAGUUGUUGGCCUGUAUUUGUCAUUCCACUCAAUCUCUCCCCCCCCCCAGACAGAUUAUGCAAAAAAAAAACAUUUUCCUGACGUUGAUAAUUCCGGGGCCUAACUAUCCAGGGAAGAAUAUGAAUGUGUACAUGCAGCCACUUAAGGAUGAACUGCAAGAAGCUUGGGAUAAUGGGAUCAAGACAUACGACGCCGCUACAAAAAAAAUUCCUAAUGCGUGUGUGGUACAUGUACUCGAUGCAUGACUUGCCGGCGUAUGCGCUAUUCAUUGGCUGGUGUGUGCAUGUAAGGUUCCCAUGCCCCACAUGCAAGGCAGCUCUUGAGUUUCGUCGGCUGCAGGCGGGUGGCAAGUUUUCUUGCUUUGACAUGCAUAGACAGUUCCUGGAUCCUCACCAUAAGUUUAGAAAAGACAAGAAGAACUUCAUCAAAGGUAGAGAUGUCAAAAACUCUGCACCACCUGCGUUGACAGGCCAACAGACCCUGGAUCAGUUAAACGCUCUCGAGCCGGAUCCAGCGCGUCCAGGGUAUUUCAAGGGGUAUAAUACGGAACACGCCUGGACCCAUAAGAUAUGCUUUUGGGAUCUGCCGUACUUCAAAGACCUCCUUUGCCCACACAACAUCGACGUGAUGCACACUGAAAAGAAUGUCGGCGAGGCCCUCUUUGGUACAUUGUUCGGCAUAGAGGGGAAAACGAAGGAUAAUCCAAAGGCCAGAGUCGAUCAGGAGGCUCUAUGUGAUAGACCGCUACAAAACAUGAAACAACCAAAAGGAAAGAAGAACUGGGCGAAGCCAAAGGCAUGGUUCAAUCUUGGAAGGCCGGUUAUGAGGGAAAUACUCCUUUGGGUGAAAAAGGAGUUGAUGUUCCCCGAUGGGUAUGCAUCGAAUCUAAAGAGUGGAGCGAGCCUUGAAAAAUUGAAAAUAUUUGGUCUCAAGAGUCAUGAUUGGCACAUAUGGCUUGAGCGGGUAAUGCCGGUGAUGUUGCGUGGAUUUAUCCCUGAGGAUGAAUGGCUAGUACUGGCAGAGCUGAGCUAUUUCUUCCGUGUUCCAUGUGCGAAAGAAUUAUCGCCUGGCUUGCUAGAAGAAAUGGAAGAGUUGGCGCCGGAGUUGAUCUGCAAGUUGGAGAAGAUCUUUCCACCUGGCUUCUUUAAUCCAAUGCGGCAUUUGAUUUUGCAUCUCCCGACCGAGGCACGAUUGGAGGGGCCCGUGCAGAAUCGUUGGUUCUACGCAACUAAGAGGAUGCAGAAGACGCUUCGAGCAAAAUGUAAAAAUAAACGUCGAAUUGAAGCAUCGAUGGCCGAGGCAUUCAUUACUGAGGAGGCGGAAAACUUCGUGACAGCACACUACAAAGCCAAAAAUCGUCAUUUGCAUAAUCCGAAGCCUCGGUACAAUGUUGGCGACCCUAAAAGGGUGGAUCCAACCUCAGCCUAUUCAAAGGGAAGCUCGCACCAGCCGGUGCUUAUACUCCCUUAUUGUUGGAUAACGACGAAUGGCGGACCAUUACGUUGUAUAUCUUGAACAAUCUAACAGAAGUGCGGCCGUACAUCGAGUAAGUUCUCGGUACAUUGUUUCGCAACCUCUAAUUCAUUUCAACUGCUCUUAUUCCCGGAUAUUUGAUACAGUCGAUACGUCGCCAAAUUCUCGUAUGGAGUGGUUAUCCAAAAGGAUUACGUGGAAGAGUAUGAGCUUCUGGCAAUGCAUGGAGGCGGCUAUCCCGGUUUCAUCUAUUGGUUCAAACAAACGGUAAUUUCCAUUAGACCAUUCCAUUUCUUCUUCUAAUUUCUGGCUAAUGCAACAAUCCUUUCAUAUUAAACUUGUAGGCUAGUUCAGAGUCUAUGGACGCCGAAUUGAGACAAGUCGCUAAUGGUUUUGACUAUAAGGUCCAUUCAUUUGACAAAUACGACAUCAACGGGUAUCGCCUUCGUACCUAUGGCAAAGAGCUAUCUAUGGCCGACCGAAAGUCUACAAAUUGUUGUGUCUCUGCUAUCAGCGAAAGAGAUACCGAGUAUUAUGGAAGAGUUGAAGCAAUUUAUGAACUUCUAUUAUAUGGUGCAAACCCACCGAACGCCAUAGUCUUCAAAUGUCAUUGGUUCCAGCCGAAAGAGACUAGAAGGACUCAUGAACAUCUAGGUCUAGUCGAAAUCAAACAAAGCACCCAUUUGGAUGUUCCCGAUGUCUAUAUUACGGCUCAAGGGGCAACCCAAGUUUUCUAUCUACCGUGGGCCUGCCAAAGUGAUCCAAAUCUCGAAGGUUGGGAUGUCGUUUAUGAAGUGCCGCCACGUGUUAGACCACCUCCCCCCAAUGAAUAGGAUUAUGAACCUCACAUUAAUCCAGACACAUAUGAAGGAGAAUUGUUCCAAGAAACACGUCUUUCCAAAAAACGUUUCAAGAACCGCUCACCUCAGAACAUUCAAGUCCUUAACUAAUACUCUGUUCCUCUCUUUUAGUCAAAACACAACAAGGCUCCAGUGCCAGAGCUGUUCGACCUCUAUGGCAUGUCCAAUAUUGCACCGUACAAGAAGGCCAAGGCAUUCUCUGAGUCUGACCUCGAAAAUGCAAAGAACUUCAGUAACGAGGCCUCCCACCACAAGAUGGUGCAGUACGUUAAGCAGGGGAAAGCGAGGAAAGGGCCGGACUUUAACCCGAGCCGGCCUCUUGAUCCAGAGCUGGUGAUGAUAUCUGGUGGUGGGAGGUCCCAUGGCUCGUUAGCCAUUAGUAAUGGACUGAUAUGUUGUAGUAGCACUCUCCCGCAGAUCAAGAAGCGCCAGACCAGCUCUGAUCCUGAGAUACGUCCUCGUUUACGACUAGUGGAAAUCAAAUUCCAGGUUUGUUACAUGGACUCAGUAGUCUUUCCUCCAUUACAUUGUGUUUGCGGCCGUCGAUGAUUACAAUGCUAACGAGUGGUGUUGCAGGCUGCUAUUGAGGCAGAGAGAACGAAGACCCAGGCUGCUUUUGAGGAGAGGGACCGGCAGUUGGCGGAGAGGGACUGGCAGGCGGCGGAGAGGGACAGGGAGAAUGAGGAGAGGAUGGCUAGGCUGUUGGAGGAGGAGAGGAGCCGGAACGACUCGGCUAACCGGGCCAUGUAUGAUCUCUUCGUGGUAAGUUUCUUCUGCAUAUUAGCUAAAUCAUGCACGCAAUGUUCCUUUCAUUAGUAACUAAUAUGACUGACUCGUCAAAACCAAAUGUGCAGUCCAUGUGCGAGAAGAACGGCCAGACCCCUCCGCCGAUGCCAGUCAUUGCUCCGGCGGGCAUGGUGAGUUUCAUUUGAACGGUCAUUAGUUACUAGUCUUCACAUUUGAGCCGCAUCAUGCUAACGAUACAUUGGAAAUAAUCUUUGGUGCAGCGUAACUCCCGACAAGCAUCGACCGAUCCUUCUCCGUCUGCCACUGGCGCGACUGGUCCUACACCUACACCUCCGUGAUGAUGGUAAGUUUCCCAAGUGUUUUGCUUAAUAGAGUUUUGUUGUGAUGCCAUGUUGUAUCUACACAUAUCGUGCAUAAUGUGUGUAUGUUUGAAAUGCAUUGUAUGUGUGGGAUUCGACACCUAGUCGUGUGCCUUUGGUAGCCUUCCAUACAGGGAAAUGCCUCCUGGUGCUUCCACUGAGCCACGGUAGUUCGCUACUGCUCCGGAACACAUGGAUUGACCGACAUGUGUCCUUCUUUGCUCCUGUGUCUGUCCCUACGGGGAAAUGUCACGCGGUGUCUCACCGAAGUCCUUGUAGCUUGCUACGACUUGGUUGCACUCGCUGAUGACCGACACGUGCAUUGAUGGGUCAUGUAUGCAUGUCCCUGUAUGUUUGUGCCACCUUGGUUCUAUGACUAGUCAUGUCAGCCCGGGUUCUCUACCAUAUGGAUACUAGCGACAUAAUCAUAUACUUAGCAUUUUUUCCGCCAAAAUGACUCAAUAUGCUUAGCUAGCUCAAAAAUGACAUAAUAAGCUUAAUUAGCUCCAAAAUGACAUAUUUAAUCUAGGAUAGCUCUAAAAUGACCUAUACUUAGCAUUUUUCCUCCAAAAUGACUUAAUAUGCUUAGCUAGCUUAAAAUGACAUAUUUAACCUAGGAUAGCUCUAAAAUGACCUAUACUUAGCAUCUUUUCCUCCAAAAUGACUUAAUAUGCUUAGCUAGCUCUAAAAUGAUAUAAUAUGCUUAAGAAAUGACAUAUUUUAGGGCCUAAAUGACUUCAUAUGCUUAGCUACCUCCAAAAUGACAUAAUAACCUUACUUAGCUCCAAAAUGACCUAUUUAACCUAGGCUAGCUCUAAAAUGACCUAUACUUAGCAUUUUUUUCCUCCAAAAUGACUCAAUAUGCUUAGCUAGCUCAAAAAUUACAUAAUAAGCUUAAUUAGCUCCAAAAUGACCUAUUUAACCUAGGAUAGCUCUAAAAUGACCUAUACUUAGCAUUUUUUCUCCAAAAUGACUUAAUAUGCUUAGCUAGCUUCAAAAUGACCUAUUUAACCUAGGAUAGCUCUAAAAUGACCUAUACUUAGCAUCUUUUCCUCCAGAAUGACUCAAUAUGCUUAGCUAGCUCAAAAAUGACAUAAUAAGCUUAAUUAGCUCCAAAAUGACAUAUUUAACCUAGGAUAGCUCUAAAAUGACCUAUACUUAGCAUUUUUCCUCCAGAAUGACUCAAUAUGCUUAGCUAGCUCGAAAAUGACAUAAUAAGCUUAAUUAGCUCCAAAAUGACAUAUUUAACCUAGGAUAGCUCUAAAAUGACCUAUACUUAGCAUCUUUUCCUCUAAAAUGACUUAAUAUGCUUAGCUUACUCUAAAAUGACAUAAUAUGCUUAAGAAAUGACAUAUUUUAGCUCCUAAAUGACUUCACAUGCUUAGCUAGCUCCAAAAUGACAUAAUAACCUUACUUAGCUCUAGAAUGACCUUAGCAUGUUUUACACCAAAAUGACUUAGUAUGCUUAGCUAGCUCAAAAAUGACAUAAUAACCAUACUUAGCUCCAAAAUGACCUAUUUUACAGAUAUAAGUUGCAUCAUAAUAAUCUUCACAUUUUAGUUGCAUCAUAAUAAUCUUCUUCUUCUAGUCUUCUUCUUCUAACUUUCUUCUUUCCCAUUUUACAGAUUUGCUUAAGAUUACGGAAGCUUGGGUUGAUGGAGUGCUUGUAUUUAAUUUUUGUUUUGACCUUGUGAAACUUGUUACCUAUGGAUGAAACUGUGUAAUAUUGAUGAAACUAUGUAUAUGUACGGAUGAAACUUGCUACUAUUGGUAACAUGUAUUGGAUAUAUGUGUUCAUGACUAUUGGUAAUAUGUGUUGAAUAUGCUAUAUUGGUCAUAUAAAUAUAUUUGUGUUUGAUAUUUUGUGAAAAUGAAUUGAUAUAAGAAAAAACAAAAAAUUAAAUGGGGCAAUAUAGUCACUUUGCCAUCUGCUGGCAGAUGGCCAAGAGCUUUGCCAUCAGCUGGCAGAUGGCAAAGAGGCCACGUGUCAUCUACAUGUAAAAAUUGGGCUGGCCUAUUUGGGCUCUUUGCCAUCUGCCAGCAGAUGGCAAACCUCUUUGCCAUGUGCUGCCAGAUGGCAAAGCAUGCAGCCUUUGCCAUCAGCUGCCACACGGCAAAGAGCCUGCAUACUUUGUCAUCUGCUGGCAGACGAUAAAGAGCCUGCAGCCUUUGCCAUCUGCUGUCUGAUGGCAAAGUAUGUCGUUAGCCUUCUAACGGGGCUAACCCCGUUAAGAGGCUUUGCCAUCUGCCAGCUGAUGGCAAAGCCACAGGCUCUUUGCCAUCAGCCAGCAGACGGCAAAGAAGCCUUUGCCGGCAGGGUUUCAGACAAACUGUUUGCCAUCUGCUGGCAGAUGGCAAAGCCUUUGCCAUCAGCCGACCAUGCCUUGGCAGAUGGCAAAGUGCCAGAUUCCAGUAGUAGCUAUUCGAGUACUACAUUGCUAUCCUGAAAAAAGAAAGGAAAAUCGAACUCAAAAAAGUGAAGGAAAAGAGAGAACUAAAUGUACAUUUCUAGGGGAGCUUAUUGCAUCCAGAAUUGCACUAACGUGAGCAUGGAACGAGCAGUCUUGUAGUGGUGUUUGGGCACCUAACUCGCCCUUGAUCACGACGACAAGUGCAACUUCUCGGUAUAAUAUCCCUCUACAACUUAUUUUCAUCUUUACUCGCAAAAACAAAUCUUCAUCUUCCAGACCUCGUCAUCCACCAUGCGCUCGUCGUGUCGAUACCACUUGACCUACGAUCCAACCGGCAGAUGACCUCCUCGGCAUGGCACGCGUGGAGUGGUCUCCAGUCCUAUGGGCCAUUUGGACGAACAAGGCAAGCACGUCAUUUUCGCUGACAGGGAGUGCGGGUGUGAUGCUAGUUUGUACUCAAGCACAACUGUAUCAACCAGGGUUCGAAGUUUCAAUGAAAUUUUGAGAAAUUCCUCGUAAUUUUGAUAGGUAGGGAAAUACUUUUUUACCUUCAAUUUUUGACCUAGAUUCAAUAAUUCAAAUCAAAUUUAACUUUGGUCAAACACAUUCAAAUUCAAUGGAAUAAAGGAAAAAUGUUUUUUAUAUUCCGUAGGGUCCAAAAUAAUUAUGGUACAAAAGUAUUAAACCCUCAGGUCAACUCCAUCGAGCGUUCCAUUGUCCAACAGGUCUGUUUCGUGACUGCCAUCUCCAUAUUCGACUCCCACAAAUUUAAAAAAAUCAUGAGCCAAUUUAUUUUAAUGGAUUCUUUUUUACUUUGUUUGAAACACAAUUGAACUAUCUAAUGUAAGUAUUUUCCCAAAUGAAGUGCCACACGUGUGGCAUGAACACAUGGCAACUCCGAACGUUUUCUAUGAAAAGUUUAGUGACGCGGGAAUGGCAACUUUAGUUGUCAAGCAUGACAACUUUCUUUCGGAUGGCAACUUUAGUUUAAAAAACUCAGAACCAGAUUGUUUCAUGCCACAUGUUUGACACUUAUCAUUUGAGUUUAUUUUAUGUUCUAUUUUUAUUCUGUUGGAAGCAAUGCUUUAUUCAAUGAGGACACAACAAAAAAGUCGUUGGGCUGGAAACUUUUAGUUUUGGAGAAAUUAAAUAUAUUGAUAUAUUAUACAAAAAAAUUAUUGUGCUCGAAUCCUAAAAUUAUAAACUAUGCACGUAGUUAUGUAAGAUCAAAACCAAAUUAGUUGCACUAAAAGCAAAUUGUAGUACUUUGAAUACAUUUUUUUCUUUAUAUGAAAGUGUGUCCAGUGUAGCGACUCUAGCCAUUGAUGAUAACCCUAUGUGAUCAACAGAUGUCACAAUUUUCACGCAUAAAUACAAUCUGACCGCUUUUAGCAAAAAGAGUACAAUAUAGACGCACACAUACACACACCAAAAGGCAAACCUCCUCGCUAUCAUCAAUAGGAAAAUACACACAAACCCGUUAAGUNNNNNNNNNNNNNNNNNNNNNNNNNNNNNNNNNNNNNNNNNNNNNNNNNNNNNNNNNNNNNNNNNNNNNNNNNNNNNNNNNNNNNNNNNNNNNNNNNNNNNNNNNNNNNNNNNNNNNNNNNNNNNNNNNNNNNNNNNNNNNNNNNNNNNNNNNNNNNNNNNNNNNNNNNNNNNNNNNNNNNNNNNNNNNNNNNNNNNNNNNNNNNNNNNNNNNNNNNNNNNNNNNNNNNNNNNNNNNNNNNNNNNNNNNNNNNNNNNNNNNNNNNNNGUUUCCUAAAUGAAAAGGAUAUUAUUAUUUCAUUAUAAUGUAGUACAUCUCUGUUCUGAAGAACUCUAAUGACGAAGCACAUUCCACAUUCUGGAGUCAACAGACAUUUUGUCAUAGACAUCAUCCUGUACUACAUCGUGUUGAUCCAUUAUAUAUCACAGUCAUCAUAAUUAAUAAUACAAAUAAUAUAUAAAUCCUCUUCUUGACAAUCUUUUUGCAACGAAUUAGGAAGCAUGUUCUAAGAGCAGAUUUGUUCCUUUCAAAUUAGGGCUCGGGGUUGGCUCCUAAUAAUAAUCUUUGUUGCCAUUUUGCAGAUGAAGUCCCAGUGUCUGAACUCUUAACCAUGACACCAACUAACGGGGGACUGUAAAUGUAACCAACAUAGCUAACACCUCAUCCUAUUUUGACUCUUGUAGACCUAACUAGUAUAAGUACAGAAACACCGGAGUGCAGCAGCGAGUUCUAUGAUUGUACUAACAUUCCAAGACAGCAAUGCUUGUCUACAGCGUGCUUUGUCGUAGAAGAAAGAAUAGCUGGAAUCAGAUCAAAUUAUUUCUCGCCGGCAAGGCUGGUUGCUUGCAAGCCAUGCAACAGUAGCCAACAGUUUUCCAGUGGCUGAAGUGAAUUGGGGGGAGGAACGGGCGCUGCUCUUGUACCAGUUAACCAACUGGAAGGCCGUAGAGAGGGAAAAAUACUCGGUUAAGAAGAGCAUUGUUGGUGUGGCAGUUCAGCGUGCCGUUUACGGUGAUUGGAGAGUUACGAAAUGUAAUUUCCUGUAACUCCUGCUUCGAUUAUUUCUGACCGUUGAUUUUAACAUGUCAAUUAAAAUAUUUAAUUUAAUCAAGAAGGGUAUUAUGGUCCGUGGUUUUUCUUGAAAACAUUGUGCCUCGCUCGGUCAAUCCCAUGUAACUGUCGCAUAUCUCCGAUCCCAUCUCACGAGUGCGUAGACGGCGGUGACGGCGUGUGGACCUAGAGGCGACGCCGCCGACACGAGGACCUGGGACGACACCGCCGGCGCGAGGACCUGCCGACCUGGGGCGACGACGCCAUCUUGCGAACCGGAGUCGAGGGCCGCCUACCUUCCCGACUCGCCUCCCGAGCCGUUCCUUGGAUCGAGCGCCGCGGCGGCUCUCCCAGGCCGCACCAUCAUCGAGGUCGCAGCCGCUGUGCCGAAGUCGAUGGAGACCUGCUCCUACAGCGGCCCUAAACCUUUGUCUUCUUUUGGUACAUGUUCCUCUAAUCUUACUAGCGACGCAUUGGUUCUGGGGAUUAACAACACUAGUAUAAUCCAUGGUUAAUUGGAUCUGUGUUGCAUGAUGGUAUUAGUGGUUACCAGCCCUGCAAACUGAUUUGAGGAUGAGCAAAUAGUUGAACCUUCUAGCUAGCUUCUCGUUGUAUUAUGGUUCGCUGGAUUGCAAGUGCCAGGGCUAAUUUUAGUGGGUGUUUCAAUUAGAGUAGUACGAAUACUAGUGCUCCAUGAAUUGGGAUUGGGCAGAUUGCAUCCGGAAAAAAACUAAUCAACUCGUCAGACAAUGGCUAGCUAACUGAUGGCUUGUUUCAUGCCUACUGUUCACCUUGUUCAUUGGAAUCAAGUUUCUUAUGGUACAGAGAUGAAAUAAACGACUACAGGGACACAUAGUUUUACUUUGUAGAGUCAACCGGUUCGGUGCUCUGUGCUAGUAUACUAGCAGAGAAGGUGUUAAAUAGUAGCCUACUAGCAGAGAAGGUGUUUAAUUAAAACUGAAUCUUGUAACUGAUUGCUGCUGACGAGAAUGGUUAAUAGGUAUAUGUAUUGUAUGUAUAGAAAGUUAGCUAUAGCUUGCGUAGUGCAAAGUAAUUGGUUAAUUGCAGUCUAAUAAAAUGGCUCUGGGACAAUGUUAACCGGUGAGAGGAGAUACAUUGAGUUUUAAAUAUAUAUCCAUGUGCUAUCUUGUACAAUAUUCUGAGUGUGGGUUAAUAUACAGGUUUGACAACUUUGUGUGUGAAGGGUGCUUUUUCAGACAACCUUCAGUAUCGAGGCAAGUUCAUGACGGACCUCUUUCAUUGUAUGCAUGGUUGUCUUGUUGCCUGUGCUUCAGUGUACUUUGUUCUUCAAAUUUGGUGUUUCAACAUGAUACUUCCAGUUUCAGUCAAUCUACAUGCAAUUUGAUAGUUAUUAUUACUUUAUAGUUUAACAGUUUUUUCUAUCAUGCAACUGUUGAUACCUCACGGUCUGAUAAGCUCAAUAGUGUCUCUUCUGGUAGUGGUGUAGCUUGAGGAAGCAAUGCCUUAUGGACACGGGGCAAAAGGAAGUACGUAAAAUUCCGUGGCCUGCUCGGAUUUGAGGAUGAUGUGUGAGCUCCAUGCGUGAGCCUUUUAUUUUAUACUGUGCCCAAAGCUAUGUGUGAGAUUUAUUUGCGAGACCUAAGCUAUGUGUGAGAUUUAUUUGCGAGAUCUAAGCUAUGUGUGAGAAUGUUGCAAUGUCUGAGACCUUAGUUCUUGAAUUAUGCUCCAUUUUUACAUAUUUUGGUCGUUUGAACAUAUGAAAUGCCCAUGAUGGACUAAUGCUAGCUAAACGCUUCCAAAAAAAUCUGAGCAAAAAAUGGAAGUGCGUGGAAAUUUUUUAAAAAUUGUCAAAAAUGAACAAUACCGUUGGGGCCCCUCGUACACUAGUAUCCAAUAUCGAAUUAGAAAACGUGGAUGGUUCACAUCACUCCCGGACCAUUUUUUUGCUCUCUUAACCCCUUAUAAUAUCCAAUACCGUUGGGGCCCCUCGUCAGGUGACCCUUCAACUUACAGGCACAUCACUUCUGCCGCCACUCCCCUACCCAAGCUCGUCUCCCCCUGCCACUCCACCUCGCGGUGACGCCAUCACUGUUCCCACCCGCUGGAGUCACCUCGAAUAUCCUCGCCACCAAACCAAGCUCUACCACUGGAGAGUGGCACCGACUGCGUCGUGGCCAUCAUGGCCCCGACACUACGCCUCCCGGCCCGGUGGAGGUUAGCGAUGCCUCAUGGAGGAUCAAGCCAACGUCUUUAGGUCGAUGGUCGCAACUUUGUCUUCGGCAGCGCUCGGAGAGCGGUCGACGACAAUGAACCGAGUGUCCGUUCAUGCCACCGCCUAUGUUGCGUUUUGUUUCCGUGCCCAACAAUCUUCCUUUGCCCAACCACCUGGAUAGCUUCGCAUCUCUCCUCUGGACCUCCCAGUCGAAGGAAUUGGACUGGUUGCCAGGAAUCAACAACACGAUCACGUUCUUCCCCUCUUUAGAUCGAUCUCCGUCGUGCUAUCGAUCUCCUUUAGCAGUGAGUCCCCUACCCUUCCUUGGCUUUCUCUCUUCUCCUUCGCAUACAUGAAUCUAUUGCAACCUUCAGAAACAUCCGGAAGUCCUACAUCGUCCUCAUGGCGAGUUACGGCUCUAUUGCCCGCCGCCGCCGAUGAAGUCCUCGCUGCCGAGCAGCACUCCAGGCCAAGCCACCCUACCAUUUGGCUCCGCCUCGAUGAGAUGAACUCCCGGGCCGUAGGAAUUGUCCUUGGGGGCCCUCCGCAACACGACGGCGAGCGAGCCAAGCCUUGCGCACUUCUUCAACGUGAACUGAGCCAACCUGUGAUGACAAAGUUGAGCAGUCGCUUAGAGUGCUUUCCAAAAACCUAACUCGUGCUCUCCGGUUGCAGGAUCGCAAGGACGAACAGUUUCAGAUCUGCUCUCCCGCACACCGAUGCACGCUGGCGUUCAAGAUAGAGUAGACCACGGUGGCAAAGCAAGUUACGAGAUGAGGCAAAACCCUAGGUGUUUUCAGUGUAUCUUUGGCCGAGGUUGGUAAACAGUAUAUAUAGGUGAACCAGAGGCGGUAUUGUGUUGCGACCACAAUCUCAAAUCGACUUGGUUUCCAAGUCGAACUUACCGGACAAGUAAACAAUGAACUUGACCGUCAAGACACCAAAAAUUUUAAAACGCCAAAAGGAAGUUCCGCCCCUGCAAGACAACGGACCGGAUUUGGACGGACCAUUCAUGUGUAAGUCAUUAGGUCUACUGCGGCGUCCUGUCUAAUUGUUGGUGUUCACACAAAACUUACCGAGGUACCUUUUCUAACUUUUGGUGUUCUCGUCUGAUUUUUGCUUGCGGCCUGUUAGCAAUUAGGCAUGACCAGAUUAAGUAGUAGAGGUUUUUUCAGGGAAAGCUUUAUGUAGUAGAGUUAUUGAAGGUUCAGUCCUCAAAUGACAAAAUGAAAUGAGUAGCAAUCGCUUCCAUAGUUGACUCAGCUGUAUGUAUCUGCUUGCUGACAGCCUUUCCAGCUUGAAGAUCACUGAAGCUGUUUAUUAUUCUGUAGAUAUCAAAUAUUAUAAAUGAAGUGGUGGAGGCUCAUAACCAAAUGCUGGACAUAGUGGUAUGUUGUAUCUACUACCUUAAGGACUGAAUGUACUGCUGCUGCUAUCCUAAGAACACAUGCCUUAUUCAGGGGAAUGACAGAUUCAUCAAGGGGGUUUCUCUCUGGAACUGUGGACAAAUUCAAGAUGGUAAGCGGCCGGAUUAAAUAACUCGCCAUGCAUCUUCUGCUCGUAUUCUCCCGAGACUGAUUCAUGUUUCCAUGACUGUAGGUGUUCAAGACCAAAUCGAGCAGAGGAUGGGAACCCUCGUGGCCUGGCGUCGUUCCUCAGCUCUUCAUACUAGUGUACUACCUGACCAGGUAGAAGGAUCCUUGGGUUGGACGUGCUUGCGGGCCGCGGCCCCGACUCAGUGUCCGUCCACAGAGCCAGGUAAUCUGACCUAACCCGGCCGGGGAGGCGUGGGAGUUGCUGCGGCGCGCGAGGUCAAGUCCGGUGUGCCGGCGGCCGACGGCUACGACGCGCAAGUCCGGCUGCCGGCUGUUGAUGACCUCGCUGCCGGCGGAGGUGCUCGACGCGCGGCGCAACGUGGUCAUCGUCAACGGGCCAACCAGGGCCGGGCCAGCGAGCCAGGGAAGAUGGGCGCCAACAAAAAAACAUCGAAGCGACGAGCGAGGCUGGAUAGGAAACGAGCCACGAUCGAUUCGUUCGGCAGUUUUGCAAAACAAAAAAAACUCUGGUGUGCGAGUUACAUAUUCCCUUGACGAAUCUACCCCUUGAAAAAAAAACUGGUCCCACACAAAAUAUGUAACGGUCCCACCGUUAUUUGUAAUCUCCCGUAAUUUUAAUCUUGUAACUCCUCGUAACUUUUAUUUUUCGACUGUCAGAUUGAGGUGGAUGGACGGCUCCUAAAUUCGCCAAUCAUCGUAACAGUUGUAUUGUUAUUUUGUUCGGUUCUGUGUGUGUACACUACAGAUGAUUUUUCCCAGGUUUGUUAUUUUGUUAAUUAGCCUAGGAUAUAUUGUGCGCUAAUCUACCUUCUUAAGAAUCAGUACUCCAUCACUUCAACCAUGUGGUUCUUAUACCAGAUGGGAUGCAACCACCAUAAAACUGAAUCGCAUUUAUACUUCAAUUUUUACUGCUAAAAGAUAGUCUACGUCAACCAUGGAAUUGCAGAGUGAAUUUUUAUUGUACUAAAUGAUCUUGAUUUGGGAUCUUCAAAUCUUCAUGAUGUGCACCCGCCACACCAAUCUCCUACCCCAUUUUGUAAAUAUAAGGGACGUGCUAUCUUCAAUUUUACCUUGAUAUAUAUCCACCUAGUUGUUGUAUGGUCUUCUUCCUAUAGCUUUCCACCUACACUAUCUAUCAAAUGUCUAGAAUUAAGAGGAAGAAGAUGAAGCAAUGACCCUUAGGAUCUUGGAGCUACACACAUAGCAUGUUGGGAAUAGUAGGCAUCCAGGAACAUGUUCAUUGACACGGUGUUACACUUGUUGUGAUUGACCUAAUUACUGUCACUUCGAGAAGAACCACAACUAGACAAAGAAUUGCGCAUGGAGGAUGCAUCGUUUCUGAAGGGCAACGAGAGCUGCACGUCGAGAAGGCUUAAAGAACACGUGCGACUUUCUAUGUUGUUGGCCGUGCAAGGUUUUUCUUGGCCAUUCAUUUUUGUAGCAACCAGCUGGUGAAGCUAGAUGUCAAUGUACAGAGGAAACAAAGCACAUGUAAAUUUUAUGCUAACCAAAACAGAAAAAAAAAAAGCGUGCCACCAAUAGUAGAGCAUGGACAACAUACCAAUGAUGCAGGAGACAGGAAAAGGGAGCGGCACACUACCUCACAAAAACCUUGGGUAGUGUGUGCCCGUGCAAGAAACAACCUGGGAAAACCCCCUACCGAUACCGUUGGAUUGGCAUGCCUCCUGUAUUCGUCACCCGGAUAAUUGCAGAGCUCAAAGAGUGAACCAAAAAACCAUUUCUCAAAGAAGAAAAAGCUGCAAAUUAAGCUAUACCAUGUGUUUUAUGGCUCCCACUAUGUCGGAUGAGAUCAUCGAACACAAGCAUCAGAACUGUUUCAACCAUCAUCCGUCAGCUGGAUCCCCCCUUUUCGAAAAAAAAUCCGUCAGCUGGAUAGACCACCAAUCAGGGUUUACGAACUUCUCGAUGAAGAUUUUCUUAACUCAACUGAGCAAACUGGAGAGCCAACUUUGUAUUCCUCAACUAUGACCCUCGUUGUACUGCUUGCCUAGUAGACAAAUAACACAAGAGCGCUAGGUCGGCAUUACCGCACAGGCUGAUGAUAGUAGACAAACUAUAGAUGAAAAAUAAAUCAACACCUAACAUCCAACAGGUGAAAUGCUUAAACAUCCCACUGUUCCGUCAAAAAGCAGGCAAGGAAACUGAGAUUCAAUCUAGUACUACAAGGUAAAAAACUUCUUUAUGGGCAUCCGAAAAUUAACUUCCACCAUUUAUUACGACAGUGCAAAUAUGUAAUUUUGAGUAGCUUCGGCUUCCCACGUGACCAGCCCGUCGAAACACAACAGAACAGGCCGGCUAUAAAUAUGGAAGUCUUGAAAAUAGAGCAGGCACCACACAAGGUUCACAGGCAGAAUAAUUGAUAAUAAAACUAGCUAAGAACACCACUGCCACUGCUUAGUCAAAACUCAUCAAGUUCUUCAGGCUUCUUAAGUGUCACUUACAGCAGAGCUAAGCAAUGCAUUUGAUAAAAUUGACCAGGAUAACAGUAUAACACACAUGCUAAUUGGUGCCAUACAGGAUACUUACUAGUUGGUUAACACUUCAGUAGAGUUGUGAUGGUGCUAUCUUUCAUUUUCAGUACUUCAAACUAGCAUACAGAGAGGGCAUCUGCUACCAAAGGUCUCCUACUUCAUCUGUAGCGGAUCCAGUUAUCCGCUACAUACAUAAAAAAAACUAUACAUCCUUAACAGCAUUAUCUUAUUCCAAAAGAAAUAACUUACACAUAGAUCAUUUCAUUGUUGGUUGAAGGUAAACAAAAGCUUCCAGUCCAUAUUGUUAAAAAGGGACGCAUACACUAAGUAGCAUGACGAAGGAAGAGGAUAUCCAAAUGCAGAAGGUGCAACACAUGUAAUAUAUUGUCAAAGAGAGACGGAUUUAGAUUAAAAGACAUUAAUAAUGGUUCAGCCGAAUUUAUACAUAAUAGACAUUAAUAAUGGUUCAGGAGAACGAUCAUAAUAUCCAUAAUUAAAGUAGCAAGGUGUUAGAACGACAUGGGCUGCUAACUGCCCUGAAUAUAUACAAGUACACAAACACAAGUUCCGCACUACCUUAGCAGGCACCAACAAAAGCUAUCAGAACUUCAUAAAUAUCAAACCCAAGUCACUGGUGCCCAAAUUCAAGACCUAACUCCAUUAUCAUUGGAAAGAUGGACAACCGUGAGGCUGCAGCACCCAAGCAAGAUAUUUAGUGUCCAUUUGCCAAUGACUCCGAGAACAAUGGAACAUAUGAAUAAAAAGGAGUCUUCCCCUCCCAGUCAGACCCUUCAACUCGACAAUCAGCUCCAAGUUGACGUAUAAAACGCAGCUCAGAAUCCAUGUCAUAUGACAUUAGUGUGUUCUCCUCCCCACAGGCUAUGAAAAUCAUAUUGCGUUCUGGGUGGACUGAGAUGACAUUGUAAUGCUUUUGAAACGACGAAUACUCUGCUCCAAACAGUUUCAAGUUGCUGACUUUGUUCCAUCUAUUGUAGUCCUGAAGAACCCAGACUGAUAGUUCAGAACCACGAGCACCAGUACUGUUUGCAAAUACAACUUCCUCUGUGAUGGAAAACAUCAUUGAUAAAAGCAUCAUCAUAGUAUGGUCGCUUAGGAAUAUCAAUGAUCCACGAAAUAUUUCCUUCAACAUCAACAGCUACUAUUAAGUUAUUGAAGGCAGCCAAAUGCAGGACCCCAUUUAGAAAAACGCUUCUUGAAUUCAGGGGAUUGCAAAUGAAAUAUCGUGUUCCGCGGCAGCUCUCUUUGUUUUUUUAGAGAAGGAGGAUUACCCCCGGCUUCUGCAUCUGAGCGUGCAUGCAGCCAUUUUAUCAAUUAUUCUCAGAGACCUUACAAAUCAUUACAUCAGUAAGCCUGAAGCCACCAUCUUGGCGACACAUGUCGCUACUCCUAUCCCCUUGAUGCAGGGGUGCCGAACGUCUGAGCCUAAUACCAAACAGACAUCGCACUAAAAUCUAACAUCUAAUGCCGGUUGCCCCAUCCCAGCCACUUACAGGGAAUGGGUCACACACCGGUCCAAUGCACUCACCGAGGCUACCGCAGCCGUCAUCCAACUAACCAUCUUUCAGAGCCCACAACAGUUCUAUUGAUCGACAAAUAGAGUCUAGUGUUAGUUUUAAAAUCCUAGGAUCAUCAACCUAUGCUAUGUAUUGGAAAUUUGCUUUGUGUGUCAACAAAGGCCCCUUGCUCUGGUCUUGCCCCUGCCCCGUAUAUUUCUGGACUAGCCCAGUUCUCCUCUAAUUUAUUUUUAUGGGGUGAUCAUUUUUUGUGGGACUUGAUCCCUCUAGCUGCCGACAAAAAACUAGCUGCCAACACCAAGUACAUCCUAUGUAAAGGAGGCCGACCAAAACAGAAAAUAGAAGAAAACCGGAAUACAAACAUAAGUUGUAACAACCCUGCCGGAUCGAAGCAAGGGGGAAAGGGGAUCAGGAGGAAUUAGAUGAGCUUGAGGGAGAAGAUAGAGCAGGUGAGAGCUGGAAGAAGAAGAUCGGUUGAGGAUUCAGAAAUAUUCUUUUACAACGAUGCCCUCUCGGUGGUCACGCACGGAUACAUAUAGCCUGGCUGCUCAUGGCCCCACUCACCAUACACACACUGCCUACCCAUGGACUAGUCCGCUGUCACUGCCCGUGGGCCCUAGUCUUCCUCUUCUCCGUCACGCACCGUGGGUGCCUCACAGUUCGCCUUCCUCUCUGGAGGGAAGGGCGUGACAUUUCCCUCCGCUUGAGGCGGAGCUCCCCCUUCGUGAUCCAUGUUUGGGAAUUUUUGCUGCAACACAUGCAUGGUAGUUCUCCUAGGUGGCACUCGCUGGUGACAAGGUACGCCAAUGCACCAGUACCUGUGGGAUGGCGGCAUUCCCUUUCUUGACCAGGCGGCGCUCCAGAAUAGCGUGCGGCACCAGGUCACCGAUGGUGAGGUCCGGUGGCGCUGGUAGCUGAUUGAAGAUUGGUGGGUAGUCCGCUGUGUACGGCUUUAGCUGCGAAACAUGAAAAACCGGGUGAAUUUUGCUUUCCUGUGGCAGAUCCAACUUGUAGGCGAGCGAUCCAAUGCGGCUGAGGAUUGUAUAUGGUCCAAAGAAUUUGUAGGCGAGCUUCGGACAUGGCCUGUUGACCACCGAUGACUGGACGUAGGGCUGCAACUUGAGUAGCACUUGGUCGCCCAUGCUGAACUCCCGCUAUGUGCGCUUGCGAUCAGCUUGGUGCUUCAUGCGAUGCUGGGCGCGCUGCAGGUGGUCUUUGAGCAUGUCAGUGAACUGCUAAUGCUCUGCGGCUAGGUCCUGUAGUGAUUCCGGAGUCUGAACGUUAAACAGAUUGGGCAGAGCUCCAAAAUUGGGGUCAACACCAUAUAGAGCUUUGAACGGCGUACAACCAAUUGCACUGUGGUAGCUGGAGUUGUACCAAAACUCCGCCAUAGGUAGCCACUUCUUCCAGCGAUGCGGCGUGUCAUGGACGGCGCGGCGCAGGUAGUGCUCAAGGCACUGGUUGACGCGCUCGUUCUGGCCAUCCGUCUGUGGGUGAUACGCCGUGGUAUACAACAGUUUAGUUCCAACCAGUGCAAACAAUUCCCUCCAAAAAGCGCUUGUAAAGAUCUUGUCGCGGUCCAAGACAAUGGAUUCUAGAACUCCAUGUACUCUGACAAUGUUAUCAAGGAAUGUCCGUGCCACCUGAGGAGCCGUGAACGGGUGAUGCAGCGCGGUAAAGUGGGCAUACUUUGUUAGGUGAUCAACCACCACUAGGAUCACAUCAGCACCAUCCGAGCGCGGUAAGCCUUCUAUGAAAUCCAUCGUCACCUCUCCCCAAGCUCGAUCAGGUAUUGGUAAUGGUUGGAGAGUGCUGGAUGGGUGUGCAUGCUCAUGCUUCGCUUGUUGACAAACAGUGCAUUGCUUCACAAACUCCUCCACUUGCACUUUCAUCCCUGGCCAGUAAAACAAAUUCUUCAGGCGCAAGUACGUUGGGCGUAUGCCAGAAUGCCCCCCAACUGCUGUGGUGUGAAGUUCACUGAUUAGUUUGGUCUGCAAAGCUGCAUUAUCGCCAAUCCAUAAGCGGCCUUUAUACUUGAUCAUGCCUCUGUCCAAUUCCUGCCUGUGAUCGUCUGGACUGUGGAGAGCCAAUGCUCGCAUAAGUCAGUAGCUUUAGCAUCAGGUUGAUAUGAGUUCCGUACCUCUUGAAUCCAUGAUGGUUGACAUGUGGAUGUUGUUACGAUGGUAAGCAGAUGGCCAAUCCGGGACAACGAGUCUGCUGCAGUGUUGUCCACGCCACGUCUGAACUUGAAUUGAAACUGUAAGCCACCCAACUUAGCCAUGGCUUUGUGAUGUAGACCGGAGCCGAGUUGCUGUUCCCCUAAUGUGCAUAAGCUCUUGUGAUCCGUCAUGAUUGUAAAUGGAUCCCGUUGUAAGUAUGGCCGCCGGCGAUCAAUGGCCAUCAUAACUGCAAGGAACUCUUUCUCAUAAACUGACAGUUUGAGAUUGUUGACCCCUAGCGCACGACUCAGAAAGGCAAUAGGGUGACCCUGCUGGGACAAAACAGCACCAACGCCGGUUGCACACGCAUCGAUCUCGACUGUGAACGGUAGAGAAAAAUCUGGGAGGGCUAGCAUUGGUGUUGUUGUCAUGGCUUCCUUUAGUUUCUGAAAUGUGCAGUUGCUGCCUCUGACCACAGAAAACCCAUCUUGCUAAGGAGUGUUGUCAGUGGCUUAGUGAUGAUGUUGUAGUUCCUGACAAAUUUUUGAUAAUACCCGGUUAAGCCCAAGAAUGCAUGCAGCUCCGUUUGGGACGAUGGCUGCGGCCACUUCAUAAUGGCAUCAGUCUUCUCUGUCUCCUAGGCGACCCCAGCUGCUGAGAUCACAUGCCCCAAAUAAUUGAUGGAGGACUAGGCAAAAGAGCACAUUGAAAGCUUCACAUAUAGUUUGUGCUCGCGUAGCAUUUCCAACACUUGGUGCAGGUGCUGCAAAUGCUCGUCAAAGGAAGGGAUGUACGUCAGGAUGUCGUCGAGGAAUGUGAUGACAUACUUUCGUGUCAUUGGAGCAAAAACUGAAUUCAUGAGGCACUGAAAUGUUGGUGCUCCAUUUGUCACCCCGAAUGGCAUCACAUGAAACUGGAAAUGCCGGUGAUGAGUUUUAAAAGCCGUUUUCUCUUCAUCCUCCGGCCGCAUUCUAAUCUAAUGAUACCCGACACGUAAAUCCAACUUCGAGAAGAAGCGAGCUCCUGACAAUUUGUCAAGCAAUUCAUCGAUGAUCGGUAGCGGAAACUUGUUUUUGACAGUGAUGUCAUUGAGGCAACGGUAAUCGAUGCAAAACCGCCAAGUAUCAUCUUUCUUUUUCACCAAAAGAACGGAAGCAACAAAGGGGCUUAUGCUCGUGGUGAUCAAGCCAGCUUUCAGCAUCUCUGCAACCUGACGUUCUAUCUCAUCCUUCUGUGAAGGGGAAUAACGAUAGGGGCGUACAUUGGGAGGAGAAGCCCCUGGAUCCAAAUGAAUAGCAUGAUCGAAAACUCGAUGCGGAGGAAGGGAGUUGGGUUCCGGGAAGACAUCGGCAAAUUCAGUCAGAAGAGCUUGCAAAGGUAGUGGAAGUUGCUCCGGUGGUAGCUGAGCAGAUUCAGCAGACUGGAUGACUGCGAGCGCCCAAACUUCGUUACCCUGAAUCCAUUUGUAUAACUGAUCAGCCCUGGUUUCAUUUAGAGAGGGUUCCCCUGGUGCACAUACACCCUGUAACUGAAUGUUUGUCAUGCCGUAGCGGGACUCCAUCGUUUUCAGACCCAGUGACAAUUCAUGGGACUGAAUUGCGCGAGCCAGUCGACACCCAGAACUGCAUCGUAGGCCCCCAACUCGAGCAGCCUCAUAUCUGUUGAGAAAGUGUGUCCUUGACACCACCAUUUCAGUUGCGAAACUUGUUGUGUGGAUUGUAGGGUGUUGCCAUUAGCGACAUGAACUGUUACUGACCCAGCGCGCGCGGCAAAUGCUGCGUUGACAAAAGUAUGGGUGCUGCCGGAGUCCACCAAUAGUAACAUCACCUGGUAGCCAACGGGAGCCCGGAGACGCAUGGUGCUCGCGGAUUCUGUACCAGCUACUGCAUGAACAAAGAUUUGACAACAGGAUGCCGGCUCGUCCAAAUUAUCAUCCAACAGCUCCAGCGCACAGAUUGCAUUGUCAGAUAGAAGCUCACCAUGGUCACCCACUUCGAUGGUCAGAAGUUGUCCCACCUUAUUACACUUGUGUUCCCGUGAGUACUUGUCGCCGCAUUUGAAACAAAGGCCAUUUGCGUGGCGAAAUUCCCUGAGCUGACGCUCGCGGCCAAAAUCAUCUGGUCCCCGCUUGGCCCGUCAUUGUGUGGCUGAACUGGGCCGGCAGCGACUACUGGUACUGGAAGUUGUGGUAGUGGCCGCGCAUACACUGUUGGGCGCCCUCGCGGCCUCCUAUGCUCUACUUCCUCCUCCUGAAUCCGGGCAAGAGUUGCUGCCCAAGAGACACUGGUGGGCGCGUGUUGGCGCACGCCCAUGCGAACCUCGUCAUGAAGGCCUAUGAUGAACUGGGACACGAAGAACUUGUGGCUGAGUGAGGGAUCCAUGGCGAUCAAGUGGUACAUGAUGGCCUCAAAAGCGUGCUGGUACUUUGUUGCGGUGUCCGUGUGCUUGAGAUGAUGAAGACGAUGUAGCUGGGCGUCAAACUCAUCCUGACCAAACUAGUGAAUGCGUACCAGUCGCCCAGGCCAUGGACACGCUUGUUGGCUUGGCACCAGAGCGCGGCGUGCCCCUCCAUAUACAACACCAUUGUGGACACCCACUGCUCCGGUGGUGUCUGAUAGAGCUCGAAAUAGUUGUGGCAAAGAUCGAACCAUAGCCGCGGUGCGUCGCCGCUGAAAUGAGGGAAGUCAUGCUUCGGCGGCUUGUUUCUGUAGUUGUCGCGCUCCUGGUGUUCCUCCCGAAGCAGUAGAGGAGGCUGUGCGGUGUGGCGCUCCUGGUGUGCCUCCCGACGCGGUGGAGGGGGCGGUGGCGGGUGGAUUAGCGGAGGCCCUUUGUUCACCGUACCAACAUCGCUGCGGUGGACGCCGUCGAGGAUGACGCGGCCAGACGCGCCGCCGCUUCCGUGUCCUGCUUCCGCUUGACCGCAUCCAGGCCGUUGCCGAACUCGGUCACCUGAGUGCUCAAGUGUUGAACCUCGGUCGAGAGCAACGAAAAUUUGGUCAACAACUCCUCCAGCGUCUUCUGGAUCCCCUCCAUGGCCUGGAGCACAAACUUAGUCCGCGCGCACGAAGUGGAUGACGGUGUCGUCGCUGCCGCCCCAAAUCAAACCGACCCCGCUCAGGAUUUCACGUCGGAUCGCCGGAGCAAUCCAACACCUUUCGCGUUGGAUGUUACGGCCGGAUCGAGAGAUUGAGGCGGCGCGGCGGAUCGUAACCAGUCUCUGGUACCAAGUUGUAACAACCCUGUCGGAUCGAAGCAAGAGGGAAAGGGGACCGGGAGGAAUUAGAUGAGCUUGAGGGAGAAGAUAGAGCAGGUGAGAGCUGGAAGAAGAAGAUCGAUUGAGGAUUCGGUAAUAUUCUUUUACAACGAUGCCCCCACUCGGUGGUCACGCACACAUACAUAUAGCCUGGCUGAUCAUGGCCCCACUCGCCAUACACACACUGCCUACCCAUGGACUAGUCUGCUGUCACUGCCCGUGGGCCCUAGUCUUCCUCUUCUCCGUCUUGCACCGUGGGUGCCUCACUGUCCGCCUUCCUCUCUGGAGGGAAGGGCGUGCCAAAGAUAUACAACUAGUAGCAGAACAUGCAUGACACACCUACGAGUUAAGCUGCGAUCUGUUCCGAAAACUGUGUCUAGCCAACAACCCUACAACAUAGUACCAUCCUUAUCAAACACAACAAAAAGCGACCACACAUAAAUAGAGCACAUGUUAACACAAAACGCACACACAUCGGAAAGGAAAGGACCAUGUAAGCAAACAUAUAAUUCAUUCAGUCAUAUUUUUAGAAGAGCAGGGAGCCCUAGUAAUUUACGCAUUCCAAUAUUUGUAGCCAACGUUAUUCUCUUUAUACGGAUGCUAGGACUAUUGAAUUGAACACAUUUACACUUCUUUUUUAUUAAAGGAUAGUAUACAACAACCAUCUUAUUCAAACGUGAAUUCGGAUAUUAAUUUUCAUUGUACUAGAAGAUAAUAUGGUCUUGAUUUUGGGCUUUUUAAAUAAUUACUAUACACUAAACUCGAAUCGCGUUCUAUAAACAUUAGGGAUGUACUAUCUUCAAUCUUAGCUCGAUAUAUAUCUACAUGGUUAUCGCGGGGUCUUCUUCCUAUGGCCUCAUACUCGCACCAUCUCUCAAAUGUGAGACUUAAGACAAGAGGAACCAGUGCCCAUUGAUCUACGAGUUAAAACACAUGUAGCAUGUUUGGAAUAGUAGGCACCCAGGAAGAUGUUUGUUCACAUGGUCUGCAGACUCGUGUAACAAACCUAAUUAUGGCGAUCACGCAAGGCACCACGCCUAGACAAAAGUUGUCUAGGUAUUUGAUUGAGGAAGCAUCGUUUAGCGCAAGAAUGCAGAGGCGUAGGUCCGGAAGACUACAAGCAGAUUGGCGCCUUGCUGUGUGUAAGACAAUAAGUUUUGGGGAACCAGCGCAACCCUUUAGGGGUGGCUUAUCUCAUUAUAUAUAAUGGUUGUGUUACAAUACGUACAUAAGUACAGAAGCUAUACAUAGUCUAACACCCUCCCUCAAUCUUAGCCACUUUCUAAAGAACUGAGAAGGGUAAGAUUGCGCCUACAAGCCUCAAACUGUGGCAGCGGUAAAGGCUUAGUGAAGAUGUCUGCAAGUUGAUCCUUAGAUGAGAUAAACUUGAUCUGGAGUUGCUUCUGCGAUACACGUUCCCGUACAAAGUGAUAGUCAACUUCAAUGUGUUUCGUUCGGGCAUGAAAUACUGGAUUUGCAGAAAGGUAUGUAGCACCGAUGUUAUCACACCAAAGAAUAGGAGGCUGUGGUUGAGACAAACCCAACUCCUGAAGCAAAGACUGCACCCAAAUAAUCUCUGCAGUAGCAUUAGCCACAGCCUUGUACUCAGCUUCAGUACUGCUACGUGACACAGUAGCCUGUUUCCGAGCACUCCAGGCGAUCAAAUUAGAGCCAAAGAAUACUGCAUAACCCCCCGUGGAUCGCCUGUCAUCUGGGCUACCAGCCCAAUCUGCAUCAGAGAAGGCCGAAAGGACCCGAGAGGAAGUCGGCCGAAUAUGCAUACCAAAUGUCAGGGUGAACUGAACAUAACGAAGAAUGCGUUUAACAGCAGCCCAAUGAGUAUCUCUGGGAGCCUGAAGAUACUGACAAACCCUGUUAACAGCAUAAGAGAUAUCUGGUCUCGUGAUCGUCAAGUACUGAAGUCCACCAACAAUGCUCCUGUACUCUGUGGCAUCCGCAGGAGACAAAAUCUCACCAUCAACAGUUGUUAUCUUGUCGGUAGACGACAUGGGUGUGGUGGUCGGUUUGCACUUCAGCAUGCCAGCUCUUUGUAACAACUCCAAGGAGUACUUCUUCUGCGUAAGGACAAGACCAGUAGCACGAGAAGUGACCUCAACUCCAAGAAAGUAGUGAAGCUUCCCAAGAUCUUUGACCGCAAAAUCAGCACCAAGAGAGCAGACAAGAGCAUUAGCAGCAUACUGAGAAGAGCUGACAAGGAUAAUAUCAUCGACAUAUACCAAAAGGUACAUAGUGACUUCUGGCUUCUGUAGAAGAAAUAAUGAAGUGUCAGCAGUGGACGGCACAAACCCAUGAGCACGAAGGGCAGAGGCAAGGCGGGCAUGCCAGGCACGAGGAGCUUGCUUCAAACCAUAUAGUGCUUUGGAAAGACGACAAAUAUAGUCAGGACGAUCAGGAUCAGAGAAACCAGGCGGCUGUUUCAUAUAAACCUCUUCCUCCAAAAAUCCAUGUAGAAAAGCAUUCUGCACAUCAAGUUGACGAAGUGACCAACCACGAGAAACAGCAAUGGAGAGAAGAAGCCGAAUAGUGGUAGGCUUGACGACAGGACUGAAGGUGUCCUCAUAGUCAAGACCAUGACGCUGCCGAAAACCGCGAGCAACAAGUCGCGCUUUGUAACGCUCAAUAGAUCCAUCCGAAUGCUUCUUCACUUUGAAUACCCAUUUUGAGUCAAUAACAUUUACCCGUGGUGGUGGAGGAACGAGAGUCCAUGUCUUGUUACGAAGAAGAGCAUGAAACUCCUGCUCCAUAGCCUCUCGCCAAUGUGGAAUGCGCAGGGCAGCCUGAUAUGAGCGAGGCUCAGAAGAUGGAUCCGCAACAGCAGCAGCCAAACAAGCAGCCAACCAAGCAACCGUACCAUCCUUACGUUCCUUAGGUUUGAAAAUGCCACUGCGACUGCGUGUAUGUGGUCGGGACACAGGAACCACCAAGGUCGACGGAGCAGCCUGCAACGGGCUGAAGGACGGCGACGUUGACGAGUCAGCCGGUGACGAGGAGCCAGUCACGGUAGCCUCGGACUCGGUCGACGAAGAAGGUCGGCCCACCGGCGAAACCGGCAGAGCAGACGAAGCAGCUGGCGACUCCGGCAUUACAGACCGGGCCGUUGGCGAGCUCGGCAUAGUGGGCCGUGGCGCGGCCGGUGUCGCGGGCCGAUCCGCAGAUGAAGGCGACGUGAGGACCCGAGCCGCGGGCGAAGACGGCAUGACGGGCCGAGCCGCAGGCGAAGACGGCGUGACGGGUCGAGCCGCGGGCGACUCGGCGGCCGCUGGCGAAAAAGGCCGAGCCGCUGGAAACUCGGCGAUCGCUGGCGUAGCGGACCGAGCAGUGGAGAUGCUCGGCGCGACGGGCUCGUCGGGUGACCAUGCAUGAGCACGCGAAUCGACGCCAUGCAACAUAGGGCGAUCGACGUGCCCACCAGAAGACGACGAUGAUGAUGGUGAAUCCUCCAACAGCUCCAAACGAGCUCCACGUCCGGUUCCUACACCAUGGUUAGGUAACAGCAAAGGAGAGUAUGCAACAUCAUCAAAUUGGUCAGAAGCAACAGAGGAUGAAUGCAGGGAUGGUGGUUCGACAGUAGACACAGGAAGGUUGGCAAAGGGAAAAACAUGCUCAUCAAACACGACGUCCCGAGAUAUAUAGACACGAUUAGUGGGAACAUGAAUACAUUUGUAACCUUUAUGAAGAGAGCUAUAGCCAAGAAAAACACACUUCUUAGAACGAAACUCAAGCUUGCGCUUGUUAUAUGGACGAAGAUGCGGCCAGCAAGCACACCCAAAUACCUUGAGAAAGGUAUAAUCAGGUUGUUCAUUAAGGAGAACCUCAAUGGGAGUCUUCAUGUUUAAAACACGAGUAGGAGUACGGUUGAUGAGAAAGCAUGCAGUGGUGAAAGCAUCACUCCAAAACCGAAACGGAACAGAUGCAUGGGCCAAAAGAGUAAGACCAGCUUCAACAAUAUGGCGAUGCUUACGUUCGACUGAACCAUUCUGUUGAUGUGUAUGUGGACAUGCUAAACGAUGAGCUAUCCCAAGAGACUGAAAGAAAGAGUUGAGGUUGCGAUACUCGCCCCCCCAAUCCGACUGGACAUGAACAAUUUUGUGCUUGAGAAGACGUUCAACAUGUUUUUGAAACUGAACAAAAAUAUCAAACACAUCAGAUUUGCGUUUAAUAAGGUAAAGCCAGGUAAAGCGACUAUAAGCAUCAACGAAACUGAUAUAGUAAUUAUGACCACUGACAGAAGUCUGGGCAGGACCCCAUACAUCUGAAAACACAAGUUCUAAAGGAUGUUUCACCUCACGACUGGACUCCGAAAAAGGAAGUUGAUGAUUGUUCCCCUGCUGACAAGCAUCACACACUACUACAUCUUUAUUACUAGACAAACUAGGAAGCUCAUGACGACGCAAAAUAUGACGGACAAUAGGUGUGGCCGGGUGACCAAGACGAGCAUGCCACUGUGACGGAGAGACCCGAACUCCACUGAAAACGCGAGCGACGCCAGGAUGCUCCAGACGGUAGAGGCCCUGGCACAACCACCCACUAAGAAGAAUGUCCCUCGUGCCCCGAUCCUUAAUAAAAAGAUCAAAAGGGUGAAAUUCACAAAGCACAUUAUUAUCACGUGUGAGUUUAGGAACUGAAAGAAGAUUACGGGUCACAGAUGGAACUCGAAGAACAUUGCGAAGCUGAAGAUUCCUAUUGGCAUGUCUAGUGAGAAGAGAUGCUUGACCAAUAUGAGAGAUGUGCAUACCUGCUCCAUUGGCGGUUUGGAUCUUGUCGGAGCCAUGAUAGGGUUCACGAGUGUGAAGCUUCCCCAUCUCGUUGGUCAGAUGCUCUGUCGCCCCAGAGUCCAUGUACCAGUGUGGAUCGAUGGAGUAGGACUGAGUGUGUCCCUGUUGCUUCUGCGGCGCGGGACGAUCAGCCAUGGCGACCUGACGGGCAUUGUUGCGUGUAUCUUUGCCGUCAUUGCCAAGACCAAGGAAGCUUCGCUGGAAGCGCUUAUGACACUUGGAGGCCCAGUGCCCAUCGCGGCCACAAAGCUGACACACACGUGGACCGCCAGCCCCCGGUAAGGUCGCAGUAGGUGGGGGGGGCCGAGGCGGGCGACGGUGGCAGCCCCAAGGGAGACCGGGGUGAUGAAGAAGAGCGGCCACCCUUGGUGGCGGCGUUGGCCGAGAGGGAGCCAGUGCCCCUGGUGCGGCGAGUCUCGACCCGUUGCUCAGUGAGAAGGAGCCGAGAGAAAACCUCGUGUGCCAGCAUGGGUGUCGAGUUGCCCCGCUCGUUGAUGAUCUCGACUAAGGCAUCAUACUCCUCAUCAAGACCAUUGACAAUAAACGAGUUGAACUCGGAGUCGGUGAGGGGCUGUCCAAUGGAGGCCAAUGUGUCGGCGAGGCCCUUGACCUUGUUGUAGAACUCAGUGGCAGUGGAGUCAAGCUUCUGACACUCUCCAAGCUGACGACGGAGUGCAGAGACACGAGCCUGGGACUGCGCUGCAAAGGUGCGCUCAAGGAUGGUCCAGGCCUCAUGAGACGUCUUCGCGAAGACAACAAGGCCGGCAACUGCCGGCGAGAGCGACCCCUGGAUGGAGGAGAGGUUCGCCUGGUCCUGCCCCGUCCAGACGCGAUGGGCCGGAUUGUAGACCAGACCGUGCACGCUGUCUACCAACGCGGGUGGGCAGGGAAGCGAUCCGUCGACGUAGCCUAGCAGGUAGUGACUCCCCAAGAGCGGGAGAACCUGCGCACGCCAGAAGAUGUAGUUGUCGGCGGAGAGCUUGAUGGUGAUGAGAUGACCGAAGUGAAACGGCGGCGGCGAAGACGAUCCCAUCGAGGAGGCUGCCUGGGGUGCAAACACCAUGGAGGCAGCCAAAGGCACCGAAGCCGAUGCGGGAGGAGGCGGGACCGCAGCCAGGGCGGGCGCCGCAAAGCUCGCGGCCGGUUCGGACGCCGCAAGGCUGGCGGCCGGGGCGGACGCCGCCAACCCCGCCAGCGGGGCGGUGUGAUCCGCUUGCGGCAGGAGCGGCGGGACGACGCCUGCGGAGUCCGCAGCGGACGGCGGCGCCGCGGUGUGGACUACGAGGUCACGCCCAAGCGAGGGCGCCGGCGGCGUGGAGAAGACGGAGCCGAUGCUCCUUGUCCCGAUCGGAGCCGGAACGGAGACGGCAUCGAGCGGGAGGUUGAGCAGAGCCGCAAGAGAGGCCGGGAGGAAGCCCGCAGCAGUGGAACUGGUGGUGGCGGCGCUCGACAUGGCGGCGGCGCGAUCGGUGGCGCGGCGGCUGCGGUGAAGGCGGCGGCGGCUGCGGCGGCGGUGCGGGUAUUAGGGUUUAGAAGCGGAAGCGAUCGUAACCUAGCGUGAUACCAUGUAAGACAAUAAGUUUUGGGGAACCAGCGCAACCCUCUAGGGGUGGCUUAUCUCAUUAUAUAUAAUGGUUGUGUUACAAUACGUACAUAAGUACAGAAGCUAUACAUAGUCUAACACUGUGUCAUCUAGUUUGCACUAUUUCGCUCGUUGUCAUUUUUUUUAUUGAGAGUUUUGUACUAGCAGAACAUAUGGUGGGCUUGUCAUCCCUUCUGUCAAAUUAUUACAUAGUACAUCUGAUAUGUAGGAGGCAAUUGACUUUCCUUUCAUUCUAGUAAUUAUCCUUAUCAUCGGUCCAUUAGAACGUGAAAGAGUAGUAACUGUCCUUUUUUUAUAAACCCAAUUUACUAAUGGGCAGCUUCAGUUAACGCCCUCCCUACACUGAUCAAUCAUGACCCUCCCUGUACUCCUCGCCUAAUAAAAUGGAGACAUGUGAAACAAAACGCUUGAGAAAAUACCAAAGGAACUGUGUACACAGUAGAUGUUCACUGCACACACGGGUAGCACACAACAGUAGAUGAAAAUUAAAUCAUCAUCUUACAGAACCACCAUUAUUAUGACAGUUCCAAUCAUGCCAGUUCCUUUACAAUUUGAUUUAAUCACUGCAUACAACAGUAUUUAAAACUGCACCCAGUUGUAAAUCCUGAUGCAUGAUAGUGCUGUUCCUAUAAAAAAGCAUCCUUUUUAGGGACAUCUGAAUGUUAACUUCAAAUAUGACAGUAGUUUUGCUCGUCAAAUACAACAGAGUAGGCACCAUACAAGUUUUAUAUAUUAUACUAAAAGACAGUAUGAUCAUGAUUUGAGAUCUUUGAAUAUUCAUGAUAUGCGGCCACCAGCCCACCACACAUAUAAAUAUUUGGAAUGUUCUAUCUUCAACCUUAGCUCGACAUAUACAUCCAUCUAGUUGUCGCAUGGUCUUCUUCUUAUGUCCUUCUGCCUACACCAUCUCUCAGAAGUCGAGACUUAAGAGGAUGAAGAAGGAAUGGCAUCUAGGAUAUAGGAGUUACACACAUAGCAUGUUGGGAAUAGGAAGCAUCCAGGAAUAUUACGGCAGUCGGAAGAAGCAAUGUUAUGCAGAUAGUUGCUCGUGGAGGAUUAAUCUUUCCUCGAGGAGAGGAAGAGCUUCCCAUUUGUGGAACUUAGAGGCGGGAAAUCCACGCCCGAGAGCAGCUUCAAUGAACUCUACGGCUUGCUACAGCCAACUCCUCAGAUCGAACACGACAGAACAGAAUUUUUGAAAGUAGAGCAGGCACCACACAAGGUUCAGUAGAGUCAGCACUGCUUGCUCAAAUCUGAUCAAGUCCUUGAGGAUCCUCAAGUUUUACUUACAGCAGAGAUAAACUAGGAAUUGAUAAAAUAUAUUUAAGACAAUCCAAGGUUGCUUGGUGUCAUACAAGAACUACUAGUUGUUUUAACACUCCAGUAUAGACCCCACAUGUUCUACAGUAAUGAUAGCUAUCUUCCAAUACUUUAAAACUAACAUACAGAUAAGGCAUCUUCUGUCAAAAGUCUCCUACUUCAGAUGGAUCCAAUCAUCCACUACAUACUAUGUGAAGAUCUCAUAUUGCAGUAAAUGAAGUAUGCAAUUAAGUAAUAAAAAGUCCUAAAAGAAAUUAUAUAAAUCCAGUUCAACCUUCGAAAGAUUUACAUCCUGGGCGACAUUAUCUAAUUCCAAAAGAAAUACUCUACACGUGAUCAUUUCAUUGUUGACUGGAGAUAAACAGAAGCUUCGAGGCCAUAUUCUUAAAUUGGAAUUUAGACAUUCAUUAGCAUGCCAAAGCAAGAGCAGAUCCAAAGGCAAAAGUUGCAACACAUAUAUGAAUUUACAUAUAGAAGACAGUAAUAAUGGUUCAACAAAAUGAUCAUUAUAUCCAUGAUUAAAGUAGCAGGGUGUUACAACUUUAUUGGCUGUAACAGCCAUGAAUAUAUACAAUUAUGCAAACACAAGUUCAGUCACUAAGUUAACUGCAAUAUUCAGGACAUGAGGGUGCUCAAGCACCAACAGAUACUCUCACAACUUGAUAAAUGUCUACCCCAGUUACCGCUACCCAGAUUCCAGACUUAACUUCAAUAGUGUCAGAAACAUGGCAGUUAUGAAUCUGCAGUGUGCAGCAGCCAAGCCAUCAAACCUCACAUUCAGAACCAUGUUCACAAAAAAAAAACAGCGUUGCAUAGACAUUUAGUCCAUAUCUGCCAAUGACUCUGAGAACAAGGGAACGUGUGGAUAAAAAAGAGUCUUUGUCACCACAGCCAGGCAAUUCAGCUCUACACUCAGAUCCAAGUUGACAUAUAAAACACAACUGCAUAGAAUCCAUGUCAUAUGACAUUAGUGUCUUGUUAUGUCCACCGACUAUAAAAAUCAAACUGUGUUCUGGAUGCAUUGAAAUAACACUAUAAUCAUUCGCAUACGAUGAAUACAUUGUUCCAAACAACUGCAAGUGGCUCACAUUGUGUUUCAAACUCCAUUUUCCUGUAACAAAGUCGUCAUGAACCCAGAUUGACAAUUCAGAACCAUCAGAAUCAGCAGGACUAUUUGCAAAAUACAACUGUCCCUGUGAUGGAAAUAUGCCAUUGAUAUCAUCAGCAUAGUACGGUGGCUUAGGAAUAUGAACAAGUGACCAAUUAUCUCCUUCCACAUCAACAGCUACAAUUAAAUUAUUAUAGGCAGCCAAAUUAAGGAUCCCGUUUAAAAAUGAGCCAGGUGAAUUCUUGGGUAUCGCAAAUGGUCCAUGCUCAACUGUUUGAUAUUUCCAAACUCCAGCUUUGGACGAGUAAAUUGCUAGUGUGUGGAUGCAUCGAUACAACUCGUCGUUUUGCUCGUCCUCGGAUAUACCCAACACCUCCUCAUCUAUGAACUCGAAUACAUGGAAGUGAGAAGUAAUGGCCGGGUCAAAUCUGAGGCGAGCGACGCCCACCUUGCUGGACCAGUCGGUGGCAGGCACGGACACCCAUUUCUUAGUGGUGGCAUUGCAGACAACAUAAUCCAAUUUCAGGGUGUUAUGACCGGCAUAUUAGGGGCUUAGCCUAGUGGGUUGGGUUGUGACCCAAGUUAUCUUAUCGUUAUUAAAGACUUAGCCCAAUUAUUUUAUUAUUAGGAUUGUUUGCUUAGGAGUCAAGUAAACCUCUCUAUAUAAGAAAAGGAGAUGUAUCAAUCUAAUCAAGUAAGAAGCAAUCAUUAUUUGCUCGGCUUCCCAAAGGGAGCCGGGAGACCUAACCCUAUCCGCCUCUUGCGCCGCCGCCGCCUCUUCUUCAUCGCGCCACGGUGCCCCACCGCCGGCAGCCGCGACCGCAUCUCCGUCAACCCUCCCCCUUCCCGUACGACCUACGCCCUAGACCAGGUAGGAUCCUAGCUCCUACCAAUUUGGUAUCAGGUAACUCGGUUCCGAUCAUGUCUACACCACCACCGCUCCGCUGCCCGUCACCACCGCGCCGCUGCCCGUCACCACCGCACCGCUGCCUCUCUCCAUCGCGCCGCUGCCUCUCCCCACCGCACCGCUGGACUCUGCCGCUGGCGCCUCCACCGGCCAGACGCCCCCGCCCUCCACUGCGCCGCCCAUCGUCGUCUACUCUCCGGCGGAGAUGACCGGGAUCCUCAACAACCUCCUCACCGCCGUCUAGGGCAUACGCCUCUACCUGGCCGGGCCCUACGCGGCCACCACGGCACUGAUUGGGCCUCUACACCACCACUGGCCCUGUCAGCCGCCGCCCGCCGUCGCCCCCCACUGGCCGCAGUGGCCGGCUCCGGCGAUCGCCNNNNNNNNNNNNNNNNNNNNNNNNNNNNNNNNNNNNNNNNNNNNNNNNNNNNNNNNNNNNNNNNNNNNNNNNNNNNNNNNNNNNNNNNNNNNNNNNNNNNNNNNNNNNNNNNNNNNNNNNNNNNNNNNNNNNNNNNNNNNNNNNNNNNNNNNNNNNNNNNNNNNNNNNNNNNNNNNNNNNNNNNNNNNNNNNNNNNNNNNNNNNNNNNNNNNNNNNNNNNNNNNNNNNNNNNNNNNNNNNNNNNNNNNNNNNNNNNNNNNNNNNNNNNNNNNNNNNNNNNNNNNNNNNNNNNNNNNNNNNNNNNNNNNNNNNNNNNNNNNNNNNNNNNNNNNNNNNNNNNNNNNNNNNNNNNNNNNNNNNNNNNNNNNNNNNNNNNNNNNNNNNNNNNNNNNNNNNNNNNNNNNNNNNNNNNNNNNNNNNNNNNNNNNNNNNNNNNNNNNNNNNNNNNNNNNNNNNNNNNNNNNNNNNNNNNNNNNNNNNNNNNNNNNNNNNNNNNNNNNNNNNNNNNNNNNNNNNNNNNNNNNNNNNNNNNNNNNNNNNNNNNNNNNNNNNNNNNNNNNNNNNNNNNNNUCAAUGCCCACAGUGGCCGGCCCCGGCCCUCGCGGGGCCCCCCACACCACCCUGGUCCGUGCCGCCGCAGCCGCAGCUGUCGGCCCCGCCACCGCCCAGCACGGGGCCCCGGUCACCCUCGCAGGGAGGCGUACCGAUCCAGCAAGUGCGCUUCCUGCCGUCGCCGUCCCCAAUGCCGGCCUGGCUGACCAGAUCAUCGCCGCCACCCGUCUACACGUCGGCUGGAGACCCGCUGGCACCCACUCUGUAGUUCGACGAUCCCUCCGGCUCAACGGGGCACUCCACGGGCCGCGGCCAUACUAACCGGGCGCCCCACUCAUCGCUGCUUCGCACCUCCGAGCCAGUCGGCCACGGCGCUCUGACUCAGACACCGCCGCGGUUUGCCAAACUGGACUUUGCCACUUCUGACGGCACGGAGGACCCCCUCAACUGGCUCAACCAGUGCGAGCAGUUCUUUCGCGGGCAGCGCACCCUCGCCUCGGAACAUACCUCGCUCGCCUCUUACCACCUCCGCGGCACGGCACAGACCUGGUACUACGCCCUCGAGCAGGACGAGGGCAGCAUGCCCCCUUGGGAGCGCUUUCACGAGCUCUGCCUCCUUCGUUUUGGGCCAUCGAUCCGUAGGAGCCGCCUGGCAGAGCUAGGCCGCCUUCCCUUCACCUCCAUGGUUCAGGACUUCACCGACCGUUUCCAGGCCCUGGCAUGCCACGCGUCGGGUGUGACGACACAACAGCGGGCCACCUCUUCGUCGCUGGACUUCCGGAUCACAUCCGCGUGGACGUGGAGCAUUGGGGACCACAGGAUCUCCAAACAGCCAUGUACUACGCCCACGCGUUCGAGCGUCGCGCGGUGGCCAUCCAGCCGGCAUCACCGUCCCGGGCCACUGGGCCGCUACCCUGGCCGAAUGUUCCCGCGCAGGGUCGGCCUACUCAGGCUUCCGCGGCACCCGCCCCUCACCGCGACCGCGGCGCGCCCGUUCCGCCGGCUCACCUCGGCUGAGCUACUCGAGCGUCGCCGCCAAGGGUUCUGCUUCAACUGUGACGAGCCCUACACGCCCGGCCACGUCUGCCCGCGACUCUUCUACCUAGAGGUUGCAGACUACAUUGAGGAGGACGUCGUCGCCGCAGACCUGGCCGCCCGUGCUGUCGCGAAGGUGUUUGAUGCUGGUUGAUCAACUUAAGGAGUUCAGCAAGUGCUUCCCCACCUUACAGCUCGAGGAUGAGCUGUUUGUGCAGGCAGGGAGAAGUGUUAUGACCGGCAUAUUAGAGGCUUAGCCCAGUGAGUUGUGGCCCAAGUUAUCUUAGCGUUAUUAGGGGCUUAGCCCAAUUAUCUUAUCGUUAUUAGGAUCGUUUGCUUAGGAGUCAAGUAAACCUCUUUAUAUAAGGAGAGGAGAUGUAUCAAUCUAGUCAAGCAAGAAGCAAUCAUUAUUUGCUCGGUUUCCCGAAGGGAGUCGGGAGACCUAACCCUAGCCGCCUCUUGCGCCGCCGCCGCCUCUUCUUCAUCGCGCCACGGUGCCCCGCCGCCGGCAGCUGCGACCGCAUCUCCGUCAACCCUCCCCCUUCCCGUACAACCUACGCCCUAGACCAGGUAGGAUCCUAGCUCCUACCACAGGGGAUCAGCAGCCUUCAAGCAGCGGCAAGAGGAGGAGGCCAUUGCAGGCGUCCAAGAUGUCAAGGCUCCUGCAAUUGGGCAGGAAUGAUAGUGAGGGGUCGACUAGAGGAUAAUAUUCCCGCGACAGAUUAGUAAAAUAACGAGCCUUCCUGGGGGAGCGGCAUUCGUUAUAACCUUCGUAGAAGAAGCCGGCGACGGAUUGCGGCAUCUUCUUUCGGUGGUGGCGGUGGGAGAUGAGGCCGCGCCAACGCUUGGAGAUGCACUUGCAGCAGCAUGUGGACUUGUACGGCAGGCGCAAGAUGAUGUCGACGAGGAUGUCGUCGGUGAGCGUGGCCAUCGGGUCGCUCCCCUCCAUACCCUUCUUCUUGGAGCGGCCAAUCUGAUGAGAUGGGGGACGGAGAGAUUAGGAAUUUAUCCCCUGGCGUUGAGGCAAGCAUAGGAAGAGAGGACGUACCGCUACCAGAUGUGUGGCGUUGGUGCGCCAACUGCGAAGCAAGGGGCGGCGAGGGCGUCUGCGCCGGCGAGCGAGGGUUUGGUUUGGGUGUGCGCAGCCGCCAGAUGCGGCGGAGGUCGGGAGUGAAGACGAUGCGGGGAGUGAGGACUGAGGAAUGAAGGUUGGGCCGUGUGGCUGUUUCCUUCAGUUUCGCUUGAAUGGGCCGCGUCGGGCGAAAUGCUCUUGUCCCUCAAAAAACAAGUUGUAAAAUUCUCAGUCUUUUUGCAGAAGGAUAGUAUAGAACGACCUACAAAUUGAAGCAUUGCUUCAAAAAUGAAUUUUCAAUGUACUAGAAGAUGAUCUUGAUUUAGGUUGUCUAAAUAUUUAAUGUGGACCCACCACACCAACCUCCGAUCUCAUUUUGUAAAUAUUAAAGACACACUACCUUCAAUCUUAUCUCCAUAUAUAUAUCCAUCUAGAUGUCGUGUAGCCUUCUUCUCGUGGCCUCCUGCCUACACCAUCUCUCAAAUGUCUGAGACUUCAGAGGAAAAGGAAACAAUGUGACUUAGGAUAUAGAAGUAGACAUGUAGCAUGCUUGUGCUUGGAAUAGUAGGCAUCCAGGAAUAUGUUUGUGUUUGCACUGUUAUAGACUGUUUAGAUUUGAGCCAAUGCCAAUCUUACAAUAUACUGGCAUGCCCAUGACCUUCGGGGAGCACUUGGUUUUAUCACCAGAAGUUUGGCAAGCCCAGAACAACCUGCAUCCUACCAUGUAAUUUUUCACAAGGCAGUGAAAUCCUCCCCUAGAAAAUUCGCAGCCAGCUUGAGAAACGUUGGUAGGAGCACCAUGCUAUCAAGGAUGCAUCCUGCUCUAAGAUUAGGGACCCAACACUUGCUACUCAACGUAUAACUAAGCCGCGUCAUUUUCUUACAUCGUACAUUAGCUGUGUUAGGUCUAUAGUUAGAUGUAGUACCAACGUUGAGCCAUGCUAGGCCACACCUGACGAUCAGUAGGCCAUGAGAAAGACUUUCGUGUACCAGCAGGUGGGAAAGACUUUCGUGUACCAGGGGGACAUGUACGUGAUAACAUAACUUUUUCUUACCAGUUACUCCCUCCAUUUGCUUUUAUAAAUACGUUUUAGAUAGCUAUCUUUGAACUGUUUUGGGCGACUUUCAAAAACGUCUUAUAAAAGUGAACAGAGGAAGUAUAAAUAUUUGCAUCGCACGCUUAUUUUGGAGACGCAUCAGCGAACAAACUGCAAUCUUAUCACUACUGAGACUUAGAGUCGAUUGCUACUAUGUGUCUGCGUGAUCACCGAGCAGUUGUUUGGAGCAUGCAUGAAGCAGCAAUUUGCAACCUCAAAGUGAUUCCUGGAAUGGUGAUGAUUGUAACAUUGACUGACUAUUGUAGGCAAAAAUUAAGAGAAGAAGCAGAAAUGGCUUGCACUGAAUAUUACAUUUCCAAGAAUGCAAACUUGCAGAAAAAUUCAGUUCAAUACCUGGACAUGAACAGAGAAGUAGCUUAUUUUUCUUUUUUGUUCCUUCUUUAGGAGCUUACUAAAGAUUGCCCGUGAUACUUAUUUCUUGAUCUUCCAACAACUAGAAACUUUGCAUCAGUCAAUUCUGCUUCCCGGGUCAAGGCUCUUGGAAUGCUUGAGCUGCAGAUUACCUUAGCCUCCAAAUUGACCUGGGAAACAGAGCAAAGGCAGAAGAGACAUGUUCCCAUCUACUUAGCACAUCCGUCCAUUUCCCAACAUAAUGAACAUGUUCCUUUCAUUUUGACCUUCCACGCUCGCCCCUCGGGCAUUUUGACCUUUUGUGGAACAGCAUUUAGUAAUCUUUUUUUCUUUUAAAAUUAGAUCGGGACCAGAUCACACACUAGUCUGUCCUUAAAAAUCUUCAGCCAAUUAUUAUGACAGUAGUUUUGCCGGUUGAACACCUGUAUUAUGACAGUAGUCACCAUACAGGCUCACAGGCAGAACAGAGAGAACACCACUGCCACCAUACAUCAGUAUAGCCCACCAUACAGAUCACCAUUAGUUGUUUAACACUUCAGUAUAGCCCAGCAUACAGGCUCUAGAGUUGUGAUAGCCAUCUUUCAGUAUUUAGAACCAACAAACAGAGGAGGCAACUGCUAUCGAAGUGCUACAGGUGUGAAGAUAUCGAUAUUGUAAUAAAUGAAUUGUGCAAUUAAAUAAAAAAAACCUGAAAGGAAUGGCAUAAAUCCCAUUCAAGCUUUGAAAAUAAUAUAUCCUUAACGCCAUUAUUUAAUUCUAUCUAUAAGAAAUACCUUACAGAUUGAUCAUUUCAGCAUUGACUAGUGGUUAGCGCUUCAAGACCAUAUAGAUAAAAAAAAUUUGAACCCAAACAUUCAGUGGCAAGACAAGGCAAGAGGAAAUACAAAUGCACAUAUAAUAUAUUCACAAAGAGAUAAUAAGCAGAUAACAUUACUUAGACAGAUAUAAUAUAAUGGUUCAGCGAAAUCAUGUAUCCAUAAUUAAAGUACCAGGGUGUUACAAGUGGAUGGGCUGCUAACUGCCACGAAUAUAUACAAGCUAAGUCACUAACUUAACUGCAAUAGUCAGGACAUGAGUGCGCGCAAGCACCAACAAAAACAAUCACAACUUCAUAAACAUCAAACCCAAGUCACUGCUGCCCAAAUUCAAGACCCAAUUCCAAUAACAUAUUAGAAGGAUUGAUAACUGUGAAGCUGCACUAUGCAAGUAAGACAUUUAGUGCCCAUUUGCCAAUGACUCUGAGAACAAGGGAACAUGUGUAAGAAAAGGAGUCUUCCCCUCCCAGUCAGACCCUUCAACUUGACAAUCAGAUCCAAGUUGACGUAUAAAACGCAGCUCCAUAGAAUCCAUGUCAUAUGACAUUAAUGUGUUCUCUUCCCCACAGACUAUGAAAAGCAUAUUGCGUUCUGGGUGGAAUGAGACGACAUUGUAAUGCUUUUGAAACGACGAAUACUCUGUUCCAAACAGUUUCAAGUUGCUGACAUUGUGCUUCAAGGUCCAGUCUGCUCUACCAUGGUCCUCAAGAACCCAGACUUUUAGAUCAGAACCACCAAUACCAGCAGUACUAUGUGCGAAAUACAAUCGCCUCUGUGAUGGAAAAAUGUCAUUGAUAAAAUCAUCAUCAAGGUCAACGAUCCGCUUAUGAUUUCCUUCAACGUCAACAGCUACAAUUAAGUCAUCAAAGGCAGCCAAAUGUAGGACCCCAUUGAGAAAAACGCUUCUGGAAUUCCAGGGUAUUGCAAAUGAAAUUGCCAUAAUUUCUG